UUUUUUUUUUUUUUUUUUUUGGUGGGCAGGGGUUUGGUUUUUGCAUUGCCAUUUGGAAGUGCAUACAACAUGGGGAUUAAGAAUGGCGUUUUUAGUGGAAAAUGGAGAAGGUCCCAAUGAAUCUUUGCCGCCGCCCCCGAGUGAUCUCCCUCAAUGUUAGGAUUUCUCUAUUUUGUUAAGAAGGAUUGAAAACAGAGCUUAGAAUUUGGUGAAGGGGAGAGGAUUGAUUUCUCGUUGUGUUGUGUGAGAAAAUCAAAAGAAUGAAAAAGAUUUUAAAAAACCGAAAAAGAGAGGGAGAGAGAGAGAGAGAGAAGGGUUGAGAAUGAAGAAUGUGUUGUGUUUUGGUGUAUUAUUUCGAAUUAUAUUUCAGAGGGGUUUUCUUUAAGCUCAAAAUGGAACAGAGGAUUUGAAUGAAUAGGACGUAACAAGUGAGUUUGUCGUUUCCUAUACCACAUUUUGUAAGUUUUUUAAUAUCAAAUUGACAUUUUUCAAAAGAAUAUAUUUCUUUAGUAUAGGCCGUAACAAGUGAUUUUGUCAUUUCCUACCCUUACAUUUAGAAUGACAUUUUUUCUCAAAUGAAUAUAUUUCUUUCUAAUCCAAUAGAAUGUAUCUAACACGAAAUAUAAAUGUAGUAUAUGAUGUUGCUUUAUUUACAAAUAAUUGCUUAACAGUAAACAAAAACUCGAAAGAAAACGAAAUACUUAUAGAUGAAUCAAGUUCGGUGCAAUAUCACCUAUAUCUAUGAUUUUGUAUGCUUCAUCAAACAAACUUCCCUAUAUAAAAUGUUUGAUAAUUAUAAUAAAAUAUUUAUCUAAUAGACUCUCUUUAAUGACUCAUUUAAAACUAGUCAGUCUCAACUUACCCUCUCACUAAGUUUGAGAUCUCUCAAAUUUAUAAUAUAAAAUUUUUUCAAAAUUUGAUCGGCCUCUUCAAUACAACACGAAAAACUCAUUUCGAGUUCUUUUUGUGAUUUGCUACAUUCAUUACGAUUCAACUAUGCCUCCUGACGGCUAGAACAAAAUCACAACCAGAAAAGAAUAAGCUUUUUAAUUGCAAUACAUGAAGUUAAGGCUUAGUCAAUCUUCAAGCUUAAGACUCACAAUGCACACUCAUUUUAAAUGAGAAAACUAGCCCUAAACAUGCACGACAAAAAGAAAAUGUCAUUUUUAUCAAACCCUACCGAGCCCAAAGAAGGAAAAAAUGUAUAGGAAUAAACAAUAAAUUAAAUCUUUUGCAAAACAUCUUUAGGUUUACCCAACCUGCUCAAUAGUCUUGUAUAGACAAAAGCACAAAUGAAGUUCACAGUCCCCACCAGACAACACUAUUUUUAAAAAUCAAAACAAAACUCUUAUACUAGUCUAUACCAGACAACGACAACCAAGUAUUUUAUUAGUUUAAUUACAAAUUAUCAUUACAUGCAUGCAGGAAAUGAGCCAUAUAAAUUCCAAUCACACUCCUAGCAGAAACGGAGCUUUAACAAGCAUCAAAACUACGAUCUCUACCUAUAAGAGAAUUAAAUAUUGAAAGGAUGGCUAUAAAACUCCAAUGACAUCUUUUAAAACAAGGCAAGAUAGUGAAACAAGUAUGCAACACAUAUAAUACAAUCUUAUAAACUACUUUUCUAGGUUAAGUAUUUAUAGCCAAGCAACUCAUGGUUUAGAAACAACUAGCUUGACUUUACUAUGUUGUGGUAUGACAUGCCCAGUACACCCAAUGUCCUCCUUUUCGACCUUAACCUUACGAUGUAGUAGGGAAUGCCCAAUACUCUCAUCAUUUUUGUUGUAGUGAGACACGUCUAAAACUCACCACCACAUCAUUGUCAUGGAGUAUACUCAACAUUGACAACAAGAUAAUCUUCAUGUGCAUAUAAUAUCAUUAUAAUCUCAGUCUCAAUCUUAGCCAUGUAUCUAGUAUCGCUCUUAGAAAUAUCAUAACAUUUAAUCAUGUUCAUUUUCCAUUGAGAUGACACCUGAAGAGGAGCAAAUGAUAAUUAGUUCAAUUGAACCUUUUGACGAACUCCACCCAUUUAACAUUGUUGACACGAGAAUUGAGUAACAUAGGAAACAGAAGUCAAAGUCUAAGAUAAAAAAGGCUAUUAGGAAUCUUAAAUAUCAAGUAACUGUUGUUGAAAAGCAACUUACAAGUAUAAAAUCAUAUAUUGCAAAAUUGAAGGGCAUGAUAUAUAUUCACCAUCUUCGAACAUAUUAAACUUCAUUUAGUGCUUACUUUUUUUUCCAACAUUUGGAUGCCCUUUUCCAUUCACUUGAAGAUUAAGGCAGUCGGGAUUCUUUCUGAACAAAACUUCACCACAAUCUUCAUGGUUUUUAUUUGUUAUGCUACUUUAUUUACGUUCUUGCAUUUGAAGGUUGUCUUCUUGUGUUUUUGUCUGACAUAAAUACAUAUACAUUUUUUUUUCUUCUUUGAAGUGACUUUGAGUUACAAAGUGGUCCUGAUAUAAGGAAUGUAUUAAAAAGAACCACUUGUUUGGUCGUUUGAUAGAAAUGAAGAGUAUCAGUUGGUUCAUUAUGUCUUCGAAUCGAAAGAGUACUUUCAAGAUUCUUGGACAAAUGUUGAUUACGUUUACUCUCCAUUAAAUGUCCACGAUAAUCAUUAGUAAGUUGGCUCCAUUCCACUGCAACAAAACAAAAGUGAUUGCGACGUAUUCACCAUUAAAUAUUUUGAAUAUGUAUUUUUAUUUAGUUUCAUUAUGUUAAGAAAACAUGUAGUACUUUAGAAAAUAAUUGGUGUUUCAAUUAUGGACCAACACUCAUGUGUAUUGAGUUUUAUUGCAAAAUCUGUAAGAGUUGUAUAUGUAUGUUGUGAAACCUGUACACAAAUCAAUUGAUGUAAUGAAUAUCAUGGAAUUAAUACCCCUGUAAUUUUUGGGCUUAUGAAUCUGAAGAACAUAUUUACUAUUGUGAAUUUAUGUAUUUGGAAUACAGGUUUCAUUGUUUGUGAAAAAGUUCAUGUUCAGCUUUAGAAAUACAGGUUUCAGAUUUGUGAAUGGUUUCAAGUUUCAGGUUUCAGCUUGGGGCUAUCUCGAGGCAACUUUAAUUUUGCAGAAUUUAGGAAAACAUAUUUUUUCAUAGCAGAAAUUAUAAAUCCAUUUAUGAUAGGUCACCUCAAAUAGUUAAUAUUAUAAAUAUAUAAAAUAUACUUAUAAUUUUUAUUUGAUUCUUCAAUCACACUUGUCUUUGGUUUUGGUGUCUACAAACUAGAUAGAAAAGAAAAAGAAAAAAAAAAAAAGAGGAAAACUAAAGGGCUAAAAGGAACCAUAAAUCUAACUACAAAAAGAACUUUCUCGUAAUUGACAUGUAUGAUUUAAUUACUAAUCUUGUAUGCUCGACUUUUUGGUGUAUGUAAUUAGAUUGGUACAUGUCAAUCUGUUGUGGCGUAUUUCUCUACUACACUUAUACAAUUUGAGAGCUUCACUGACACUUAGAAUCCUCUUUUUCUUUGGUCGGUCAACUCUGUUGACUACUUUCGGAGGUAAGACAGUCAUAUGCAUAUAAUCUUAACUUGUCUUCCAAUCUAACUGAUUCUCAAUUGGGUAAACGAGAUUUUUGAAUAUGUUGCUAACAAACAUUCAUUAGUGUAAUAAUUAGGACCUAAACUACAAAUGUAAAUAUUGUGAUCUCGUGCUGCAGUAAUGGCAUGUGAACAUGGUGGUUGGUCAGCUUGAAACUUCUUACCAGUGCACUCUUGAAUAUGAAGAUUUCCAACCUCCUCCUUAUCUAAUUAUUUGACAUGGAGUUGGUAACAGUCAAUUAGAUUGACCUACAUUGUUAAAGCUCGUUCUUGUUUCUUCGGUAAAAUUAUUACGUCUCCUUCUCAACACUCCUAAAACCAUUGUUGUAAUAAGGCUCUCACAUGUUCAAGAAAUGAAGCAAUUGUUUCUUCGGUAUAAUUAUUACGCCUCCUUCUCAACACUCCUAAAACCAAUGUUGUAAUAAGGCUCUCACAUGUUCAAGAAAGGAAGCAAUAAUAGGCAAAUCUCCAAGUUCUUUCAAUAUAGAAUUCAUGGACUCAAGCUUUAUUUGUUGUCCAUCCUGUUAUAUCGUCUUCAUGGGCAGUGGACACGAGACCACCGUGCUAUUCCAACAUCAUUUAAAUAUUUUCUUCAAUCAUUAGAAAAUACAAAAAUAUUUUUCCACAUUUCUAGAAACGUUUAUUCACCAUAUGUUCGAUCUAGGUGACAAAGCAACUACCAUGUCAUUCUUAUACUUAUCAUUUAAAUUUUCAAUCAAAUGUUGAGACACAAAUUCAAAGGGCAAACCAACAAAAUAACCUUAAUCCGUCACAAAGUUGCACCUUCCAAUUUUUCAAAGUAUUGAAACAUCUUUUUUUAAAUUAAUGUUAUACUUUUAUGAAUGUUUUUUUUUACAUGUAGAUAUUUUAUAAUGUUUUUUUAAUUUUAACAAAUGUUAGAAGGAAAAAAGUUAUAAAACCCAAUAAUCCGAUCCAUAAUUUUAGGAUUGGUUGAAAGUACUUCAGAAUCCAACUAACCCAAAAAUUCAAAUUAGUCCCAACAUAGCCAUGAUAUGAUCAAACGAGUAAUAAAAUGAUUUCCACUUCUCCGUAUUACAAAGUGCAUAAUACCCCUAACACCGAAUACUACGUUUUAAACCUAAAUAAUUAGCCUUCUUAUUUGUGAACAAAGAGAAAAUCACAUGCACCCAUAGAGAGUAAUCCAGCGCAAGAACGAAAUAAGGAGGCAAAUGAAACAUAACCAUACACUAAAGCAAUAUAAAACUAGGGGCGUACAGAACAGAAAAAAAAAAAGAAAAAAAACGAACUCACCAACCUCUUUUGGUGAAGAACUAAACUAACUAUAACUCAAAAUACAAAUGGGAACAUAUCUACAUAUUAGCAGAUGGCAACAAAAGCGACCAACAUCUACAAAAGAAGAAAUGAAUGUAUGAACGUAAAAUUUCUAUCAACCAGACUUCCUUUCGUUGGAGUGAGAAGGGGAAAGUACAUCAUCCCCAUCCGAACAAGAACUACUUUCUGAAUCACUGCUGUCAUCGGAAUGGUCGUUCAAACCAUCAACAUUGAAUCUUUUCCCCACAUGCUCACUUGUGGAUUGCCCUGAAAGUGACACAAUGCCUAGAGAAGCAAUGCUGCUUGCAAUUGCAUCAAUGUCUCGAGCACUACUGUAGAGACCACGGCUUCCAGUCAAAAAUAAACUUUGGUUUGCUUCAGAAUCUGUUAGAACAACUGGGAGAACGUUCAUCAAUUGAGAGUUACCCUGGCUUGAACUGCUGAUGAGAAGACGCAAUGUCUCCCUAGCAUCCUUUUCCACAUCAGUAGUAGGUAUCAUUGGAUUCACGAGUUUAGGAUGUAGUGGUGGAAUGGAGGUUGAAAUGGUAGGACCAGCACUAACAAGGUAGCCUGGACCUGAAGAGCAAACAUCAAUUACAGGAACAUGAACAAUAGGGUCGCAGAACAAAGGAGUGAAGGUUGGGAUCUGCUGAGAGGUAUUCAGAGGCAAACGAACCAGUGGCUCUGGAAAUAGUGCAGGAAAAUCCACCGACGGAGAAUCAACUAGAUUUAAAGGUGAUAUUGGGACCGAUAAGUUUGAUGGUGUAGAGGCUGGUAACAGCGAAGGAAAUGGCGGAAGAGAAGAUGCAGUGACGGAUGGGAUAGGAAGUUGAGAAGGUUCUUCCCUUCGCUGCAGAAGUGAGGAUGCACUAGGACACCAGCAAUAGUACGGCGUAAAGAGAGGUGAAACCACACAAGGGGCAUGAGAUGAACUUCCAGGAAUUGGAGUGGCUAAUUUUCCCAAUGAUUCCAAAAAGCUUGUUGGAGAUGAUGGGCAAUUUGAAUCAACGGUUUGAGUUUCAGAAUUAACACAAAAUGCAUCGGUGGAAAUUGAUGAUGCUACAAUAUGGUUGUCUAAAGCCAAGUUCUCUCCACGCCUCCUGAAUUUUUCCCUAGCAGCAUCUCUCAGAGAAAGCAACGUCUUAGGCAGGCCUUCUUUAAAGGAAUUCAACCUGGGGCUUAGACUUCCCUGGUGUGUAGAAUUUGCUUUAAUUGCUGGACUACUGGAAUACCUUGACCGCAUAGAUUUUGAUGAUGCAGACGGUUGUCCAAAAUGAGAUAAUGAAUGAGAUGGUUCUCUAAUGUUGUCUGCUGAAGAGUGUGAGUCUGCAGAACUUGCCGGAUGGUGGUUAGCAACAGUUGACUCCACGAGAUACGCACGAAGGCGUGUUGCAAAGCAACCAAGACGUGAUUCACUGAUUCCAGUUAAUUCAGAAAUAGAAGGCCUUCUCUGCAGUAAAUCUUUCAUCUGUGAUACAGGGGAAGAGACAUAAGGAAAUAUGCAACCAAACAAAAGCACAAAACUGUUCUAGAUAUAUAUCCAGUGAUAACCAUCAGGAAACCAUCAAAAUAAUAGUGUCAAUUCAUAACAAUACCACAACUCAUGAAGAAAUAAAACCACAUAAAAGCUUCACAUGAUUCCCUUUCCAACAAGUUGUUUUCAUGAGUGAGGAGCAAUAGAAAAUGUUCAUUACUUACUGAAGCUGUACCCUAAACAAAAAAACUACUUAUCAUUACGCUAAAUACAGAAGUAGAAAUACCUUCACAAGUAGUUCUGUUCCCAAGAGCUUUGAUUUCUCUGAGCACCAAAAAUAAAUAUUUUGAUCAUUCGCUUUAAUAACAAAUGAACGGCCAGAAUUAUCAGAUCCAAUCUCCUCAAUUGUAACGGAAGCACUUGACGAUCUGCUACUCAGAGUGAAUAGUCUCUCUACUUGGCCAUUAUCCCCAAUGAAUGACAGUCGAAAGUCGGAUGAUGGUACAACCAUUAGAUUUAAGUUUCCCCUGUGAUGAUCGACCAAAUAGAAGAUAUUUUAGAAGCAUAAAAAAUCCAAUUUUACAUAAUCAAUCAAAACCUUAACAGUUAAAUCUAAAUGACUGAGGAACUAAAAGAAAAAAAGUGUGUCAAAUACAAAAACGAAAAAUAUUCAUAAAUUUCUGAGAUAAAAGAAUCAGAUAGUAGACUUGAAUACGUAGUCUAUUACUCUAUCUCAUUUAUUUACAACCAGAUCCCCAAAAACAUUUGAAAUUUUCUCACCAUCUAAAAUCAAUUAGCAAUUGAAAUAACUUGUCACUUCAAUGCUAGGUAGACCAUAGACUACAUUCUCCACCAUCAUUAUUAGCAAGGUUCCAAUCAAAAGGACUGGAAAUUUCAACUUGACUACCAAAAGAAAAAAGUAACGCUAAAGACAAUUGCAGAAAAAUACCAACACUUGACAUGCUGAAAAAUGUUCAAACUGACAAAGUUAAGAUGUUCCGCUGUUAAAUAUUAAAUGAUGAGUAAUUCACUUUAAAUCAAAACCUCAAAUCUGAUUCCUCUUUAACAAUUAAAAAUAACACAAAAUCUUUCUACAUCAUCAUUUCAUAGAGUUAAUAUGACACUAUACUAAGUACAAAUAUAAAUAUAAAUCAGCACCAAAUAAUUAAAAAUAAAAAUAUAACGUCUUCCAAGAAAGAAUUAUAUUGCUACAUUUUAUCAGAACAAACAGUUAGGCUCCCAAACACUUUGGUCAGAUACAAAAGGACUCAGCAUACGUUGAAAAAACAUUAAGAUAGAUGGACAGGGGAACGCAUUCGGAACAGUUAGGACAAAAGUACAGCACAGAUAGCACCCAUUCCAAUAAUCCCAUUUUAAUUAUAUGUUGUAACCCUACACAACUAGAAAACAGAAGCAAGCUGUUAUUAUAGUACAAGAGCAUGAAACUACCUUUACUUCCUCAUAAUUCAGAGAUCAUAAUAGAAAACGCCCACAUUACCUACAAACCAAAAGAUAUAUUUAUUUGGAAGAAAGAACAUUGUUGCUAUUAGUAGGCUAACAUGUAGAGUCCUAAAUCUAUAAAUUACCACUGAUUACAGUUAUACCAUAGAAGUAAAAGAACUUCUAAUUAGAAUCCUAAUUAGACCCCAUCCCCAUAAAAAUGAUCUAUAGGCUAGAUGUAGAAAUAUAGUCACGAGAAGACACAUAUACAUAGGAAGAGGAAAGAAAACAUAGAAGCUACCCCAGGGGCAGCAUAGGGGCUACAUAUGUUGGUGUAGCAAUUGUUAUCAUAUUUGAUUCAUCAGGUGGUGCUGCAGAGCAAUAUGAAGUAAACAAAGAUGUGUACUAAUGUGAAAGUGCACAAUUACUACAAGUUAGACACUCAGCAUUUCUUACAAAAGGAGAAGGCAACACCAUGAAAAAAGUAGCACUGAUUUUAUUUUAAAAAAUUGCAUAAGAACUGUCCCAACAAUCACCUAGUCAAGUAGUAUUAGUAAAGCAACAAUUUGAAGUCAUAUAAAUGACAAAGUCAAGCAAGAAACUAUAUUUUACACAGGAACAGGACAAGGAACUCGGAGUCCACAUUUGCAUUAAACAGGAAAAUCCUACACACUAACAAAUAGAAACGAUGGUGCCAGGUCUUAAAAUAUCUUAUAUGAAGAGAUUGGAUUAUAAAUGGAUAUUGCAAAUUAUAGCAUUUUAAGUUGCAAUUUAGAAAAUGAAAGACAGUUGGCAUCUACAGAAUCAAAAGAAUUUAAACAUUGGCAGAGUCAAGUGGCAUGAAAAAAAUUGCUCAUCCCCUCGACCUAUACACUAUUACAGUGUUCUCAACCUAACUAAUAAAUGCUCAAAAAGUAGAGAUAGAAACGAAGAAGUAAAUAUAUGCAUUCCUUUCUUAGUUAUUCGCUUCUGAUCAAAGUAGCAGUCUUCAUAUUAUUCAAGAAUAAUAGAAUAAGCCUGAGCACAAACAAUCGCAUGACAUCAUUACCUAGAGGACGUAGGACAAAGGAGGCUUCCUUGCUUGUCAAUUUUUCCAACACGAAUAGAGACGAGAGGUAUACAGAAACACCUAGCCAGAAUGCCAACUUCAACCGGUUCGAAAUGCUGAGUUACAAAAAUGGAGGUGGAUCACAUCAGCGAAAAGGAAAAAUGACAGACGCAGAACUAGACACUGCAAAAACCCAUAACCAGCAGCAAUACAGAUUGAAACAGAAUCUAGACCGAGAGGGGGGAAACCACCAAAUUGAAGCGACGAAAAAUGAAAUUGAAAGAAAAAUAUCGUUCAAUCUUUUUUACUCACGCCAAAUACAGAUUCCAUGACAUCUCCAUCGGCACCAGGAGUCCUAUGCAGAACCGCAGAACGAGCAUGGAAUAUAAAGCAGCGAACGAUCGUUGACAAUUAAAAAUCCACCAUAUAUUAAAACUUAGAAUAAUCAAUACAUAUUUAAGCACAAACCUGACUCAAUUGAGCAAGAAGACGAUCUUCCGCUAUGCCGCUAGACGUAGUCAUCUUCAACAACGGCUUCAACCUUUCGUCAGCCCGACAAGCGCCCAUAACUUGCAUAUCUAGCGCCUGAAGCCACCGUAUAACCCUAUCUUCCCGAUCGCUGUGUUGAAGCAACAGAUCGCCAUCUCCUUCAUCAACAAUUAUAUCAGUGAGCCGCUCCGUAAGAUUAAUCUCCCUCGUCGAAGCAUGCGAACCUCCAGAAACCUCAACAACAUUAGAAGAGGCACCGCCAACACGAGACGAGUCAGCGAAUUCUUCAACGUUAUCACGAUCGGCGGCAUCGUUAACGUUCCUGGCGAUCGAUUCUUCUUUUCUAGGGUUUGACAUCGAGAAACGCAAUAGUCUUCGUGCAAUGAGAAUAUAGAAAAGAAGUUUCAAGAUUACUGCCGGUAGAUUCAAAAUCCCCGAGCUCCUCGACGCAGCGAAAUUGAGUAUCCAAUGAAUCCGAAAGCCUCAAACACCAGGAAAGAAAUGGUAAAAGAAAAUAAAGAAGAAGAAACAGAAAUCUGAGAAAAUUUUGGAAAUCAGAAGACGAAUGGAUUGUAAAGUAGAUGGGAAGGAAACGUUAGAAAGGAAUCGCAGUUACAAUUGCCAGAGAGGAAAAACGAAGAGAAGAGAAGAAAGGAAGAUAUGUUGCAAUGACCGACAUAUAUAGAAAGGGUUAGAUAUUUUGUUAUGCGCGAGGUAAAACGGACCUGCCUUGCGGACUUCAAGGGUAAUAUAUAAAUAGAGAAUAGUAAGUCGGUUUAAGAUCCGGUGGGUAAUGCAUAAAGCCCACGUCAUCGAGGCCCCACAGGAUUGUAGGGUUUACGGCCAUCCGAAAUCCAUCCAGCGUUUUCCCUACGGGCCCACCUUCCACGUCAUUUCUUAUCCGUGAAACUGGCAAACGCCCGUUGGCCACCAGACACUGACGAACCAACAACAAAUUACGUUACAAUCUUCCAUUUUUUCUCUUUUUUUAUAUUUUCUUAUUCUACUACCCCAAUAAUUGAGUAUUAUUUAAAUUAUUGUUUUCAUAAAACCAUACAAAAUCAUUUAAAAGACUUCCAACAAAUUCUUCUUUUUUAUUGUAUUCAAAAAUACAUUUAAUUCCAUUUUAAAUUUUAAAAUUUAUAUUUAGUUAUGAAUUUGAAAAUACAAUCGUAUAUCUCACCUCCACAAUUUUUCAAGACAAGAUCUAAAAACAAACAAAAUGAUCAUUCAAAUUUUAUUUUAUAUAUUUUAUUAAAAGUAAAAAUGAAAAUACAUCACAAAUCAAACUAGAGAUAAGAUACCAAUAUCGAUAAGUUUAAAUAUACGACAUUAUAUAUAAGGUUUAUUGAAAACAAACACACGAAAGAUGCUCUAUAUUUAACCUUUAAAAAAUUAAUUUAAUCCACAAAAGUACAUGAUAUCAGAUUAAUAACAUAAGAAUUCUUUAAAUGAGGUUAAGUUUGUGUAAGGAUUUGAUGUUUAACCUUUAACGGGUACACGAGCAAAUAUAUAUGAUUUUCUAUACUCUUCUGAUUUUUAUACUUUUAUUUUAAUUAUAAUAUUGUUAUGAAAUUAAGUGAAAUUUAUGAGUUUUAGGCUUCUAUAUAGAAUUUGAAAUGUGCUUCAUAUAUCUUAUCUUUGUAUACUUUAUUUUUACUAAUUUUCCUCUAGUGCAAGAAAAAAACAAACCAAAUACUAUUUAAUGGCUAUUAAAUCCAUAGAAUUAAAGAUAAAAAUGGACAAAUAUUUAUGUUUGCAUAGAGAGUAAAUAGUCCAUCUUUUUUUAAAAAAAUUAUCAAUUUCACAUAGUAAAUUUAUUUAACUUAUUGAAUGCAUGAUAAAAAAGUUAUUGUUAUUGGUGUUGUGUCUCAUAAAAUAAUUAAAAUAGUAAUUAAAAUGACUAACACUUCCAAACCCUAACGUUAGAGAACGUAAAUUUAACAUUAAGUUGUAAAUUGAUAAUUUAUUAUUAAAAUUGAUAAAACUUAAAAUUAAAAUUAGAGGAAAAUAACCUUUUUAUGAGUAAUAAUUUUAAAAAGUGUGUUUAAUCUUUAAAGUUAUAAAUUGAUAAUUUAUUAUUUAAAUUGAUACUAUAAGAAAAGAUAUAUUUUUAGUCUGUCCUUGAAUUUUGAAAAGUAAAUAUGUUUAGCCUAUGAUGUUUCAAAUCGUUUGUUUUUAUCACGAACUCUUCAAAUUUUGGUUUUAAACGUCACUCUAAUAGAAGAAUAUUAAACUUGAACAAAAUAAAUUGACUAGAUGCUUAAGUAUUUAUUUAAUUCCUAAUUUAUUUUUUGUUAUUAUUAUUUUGGCUUUAGGCUUUUGGGCUUUUGGGCUUUUGGCUUUUGGCUUUUCAAAUAGUUUAGCUAUGGAGGAAGAGAGUGAACAAAAGAAGAGGGGUGUUGGAACAUUUAAUAUUUUGUUAUUUGUGUUUUACUUUUAAGAUUGUGUUAUGUUAUUAUUUAGUUUAAUUUAAUUUCUCAUACAUGUAAAAGUUUGUUGGACCCCUUUUAGCCUAGUUCUUAAGUUUAAUUCUAUAAAAUUGUUGUUAGGUUAGAAACUCUAAAUAUAUCUUCUAUAAAUUUCUUUCCAACGUUUUAAUUUUAUUUUUAAAAACUUGAAGGGUAAAUAGUCAUUUUUAAACAUGAGGAACUAAGGGACAUAAAAUUAAUUUUGACUUUUAAAUUAAAUAUAACAAAAUAUUAGAAAUGAUAUAGAUUUUAAAAUUUUCUCUAAAUUUGUUCCUACUUGAAAUAAUUUAUCAUAUUUAUUUAUUAUUUUCUUUUCAUUUUUAAUAAGCAUUUUUUUUCUCUUUGGAGUAGGUCCCUCUAAUUACAAUAUAAGGCAAAACCAAUGAAGGGUACAAUAAGCCAAACCGACCUAGCUAGCCCACCCCCUUCUACCCCCACUUUCAUGGUGACAUUUGAUCUAUUAAAGAAAAUAAUUAAAUAGAUGUCUUAGUUUGAACUAUGAUGCUAUUUGGUUAAACUUUUUAAAAAAUUGUACAAAUAACUUUACUCAAAUUUUGUUUUAUGUUUAAAGGGGCAACAUUAUAUAAUUUAACCAUGGUAAAUGUAUAAUUCAAUUAAUAAUUUUAAUUCCGUAAUUACUAAUCUAAUUUGAUGUUUUUAACCACUAAAAUCACACAAGUUGUAAAGAAUUAAAUCACACAAGUUGUAAAGGAGUUAAAUUAAAACACUAAAAGUAAUCAACGAUCGUGUUUAUGUAUUAUCUAUAGAGGUCUAUAGUUAUGCUACUCCAAUUAAAUUUGUACUUGUAAUUUAGCUAAUAUAAAAACGAAACUAUUGUGAAAAAAUUAAGUUAAAUAUAAAAUGAUAAAAAAAAAAAAAAGGUUAGAUACAUGGAGGGGUGUAAAGACUUGAGAAAAACAAAAUUUUGGUCAUUUAAAUUAAACUUUACCAUCUAUUUUGUCGAUAAUGAUUUUAAAACCUACCUUUUAAUUUUAAAAGUUUGAAAAAUAGUUCUAAAGAAUAUUUGGGUUAAAGUUGGUGGUUAGUUGACUAACAAAAAAAAUGAAAAAAUGAAAAAUAAUUGUAUAGGACCAAAUUUAAAUGUAUAUACAACUUUUAUAUAAUUUUAUUGAUGUGACAUUUUUUCUCCUUUUCCUCCUUUAUUCUUCACUUCUCAAAAUUUUUCUUUUUUUAGUAUUCGAUUGCCAUUGAUGAUCAAAAGUUGUUUGAUAGGAUAAUUUUUCUUUUUUCGUAUAUUUUAGUUUUGAAGUUUCUUUUUUUGAGAUUUGAAAAGAGGAGCGGGAGAGAUGGGGGAGGCGAAGAAGGGAGAAGGAAGAAGUGUUGAGUGAUAUAUCAGUAAAUUUUGUCUUUAUAAACUAGUUUAAGUUUUUUUUUUUUUUUUUUGUUCAUUUGAAUUUGAACUAAGAAAGAACAUUUGAAACUAUAUUUUAAAUCUUAUGCAAUAAAGUGGUUGGUUUAAAAUUUCAAACACAAAAUAAAUAGUUUGAUGAAAGUUUUUUUUUUAAGAAAAAAAGUUGAGUGCAAAAAAUAGAAGUGUAAGUUACUAAAGCGAAAAGAAAAGAAGUUACUAAAAUGGUACAAAACCAAAGGAAGGAAAAAGUUAAAACAAACCAUACAAAAAUUGUAGAGAAACAAAAAUAAAGGGGAAGUGAACACGUAAAAGAUAUAUAUAAAAAAAAAAAGUUAGGAAUAUUUUUAAAAUGUUAGAAAGAGAAAGUGGGGAAAUGGAUAAAAAUGGAAGAAAAUAAAUAAAGUUAGAAAUAGAGAUUAUAAAAACUUUAGGAAAAGAAAAUUAGAAGCAACUAACGAUUCACAUAAUUUGAGUAUAAAAUAAAGUGAAAAUAGAUGGAGAAAUUUUAUCGUUGUUAUUGUUAUUAUUAUUAUUUUAUUAGAAAAUUGCUAAAAAUAGCAAAAUAGACUAUAUAUAUAUAUUUAACAUUUCUAAAGAAAUUAUCUUUUAAUGAUUAUUUUAAUGAAGUGAUUAUUAUUUUUUAAAAACCUCUUAUUAUUAUUAUUUUAAUAUUUUAAAAACAAAAACUACUUCUACUUCAGAAUUAAUUAAAGUCAAAAUAAUAAUGUUUUAUUAAAUGUUUUGAUUGUUAUUAUAAUGAUGUGUUUAGGUUGAACUUCUAAAUAUAUAAAUAUUUGCUUAUAUGAAAUAAACUCAAAUGAAUAAUUGAUUUAGGCAUAAAAGAAUAUAAUUUAGGCCAUUUUAAUAUCAUGUUUUAGUCUACCUUAAAAAUGCACAAUCAGUUUGAUUUCUCCAAAAUAAUAAAAUAUUUUCUUACGAAUGACCUAAAAAAAGGACUAAGAUUAGAUUCGUUUAACCCUUAAAAACUAAUGUUAUAUAAACAUAUCGUAUUAACCUUUGUAUUUUGAACAUUUUGUUGCUCUUGCUCUCGAUUCUCAACUUACUUUUUUACUUGGUGAGAUAAAUUAAAAGAACAUUGAUAUAUUUAAUCAUCAUAAAGAUAAAAUAUAAAAAAUGAAGGAAAGUAAAAAGGAAAAAUAGCUACAUCUUAAUUUGCAUACGUUAAGUCGUUAACAAUUCAGUUAAGCAAAUGGACAAAAGAAGAAGAAAAAAACCAAAGUUUUAGAGAAUGGAGUAAAUUUGAUUUUGAGGAAAAUUUUAAAUGAUUCAAAUACAGUUACCUCUAAUAUCAUAUUAUAAAGUUAAAAAGAUGAGAGGGGGGAAAAAGGAGGAAUAAGUGUUUUGUUGUAUUUUUCUUUUGCAUAAAAGGAAUAUUCGGGCAAGCCAUGGGACGGUCAUAGUCAUAAAAAGACAAUUUUUUUAGCAUGUUAUAAAAAGACAUUUACAUUUUUGUGAUUAUCUUUAAAAAAAAAUUAGAUUACAAUAAGCAAUAUAAAAAUAACAACAUUUGAACAAGUUUGAUCCAUUUUAAUAGGAAAGUUUACAAAAAAAAAACAGUAAACAAAAAUUUAGGAUAAUAGAAUCUAUGUCACUUGCAUUUUCAAAAUUGCAAAAAUAGCAAACUUAGACUCAUUUGAAUAUGGGAUCAUCUCACCCUUUCAACGAACUUAAAUCUUCCAAUUACAAGAAUAUUAGUGAACGUUAGUUAAGGCUUUUCAUAAGUGUGAGACUCACUCUCAAUAGUAAUAUUUCCAUUCUCUAGUGAAUAUCACUUCACUUGUUGAACUUAAACUCCCCUAUGUUUGAGAAUCCCUUCUCAAGCAAUGUUAUCUUCGGCUCCCCUAAAAUCAAGACAACAUUCACACAAAGUACAUUUCAACGACGAUCUCAAACACAUCUAUCUACAACAAAAUCAUCAUCACAAAGAUUGACAUAUACCAUCCAAUUACCACCGCCAAGAUGAAAAUUUUCCAUAAAAAUAGACUAAAAAGACUGAAAAAAAAUCUAGCUAGCAAGAUAACUUCUAACUCUUAAAUACUACAGCCCGAAGAUGGAAAACAACUUCAUUCUAAAGCAUAAACAAGGAAAGAAACCUUAAAAAAAAACUCAUAGUUGUUCAAAUUUAAGAAAAAAUAAAUCUGGAAGAGUAACAUGUUGAGAGACAUUAUCUUAUGAGACAUCGCUAAAACAAUCUAAGAACCAAACUCAAAAAACUUUCACCAAAUACAUAGCCAAUUCUAAAUAUCUAACAAUUGCAAAAUUAACUCUAAAUCUUUUUUAAAAAGUUUAAAAAUACUCCUAUACCAUCAAUAUGAUAAUGAUACAUUUAAAUAAUAAGAGAGAUUUAGUUACGGUAAAAAGAUUAUUAUUUGAGAUCCUAACAAGAAAACAACAUUCAAAUUUUACUUAUCAAAUUUAGAUGAAAAAAAUACACAAAACUUGUCAAAGAGAUUUUAAAGAACCAUAAAAUUGUGUUCCAUGCAUACACAUAAUUUUUUUUAUUUAAGAUGAUAUUUUCCUUCAAUCAAGAAAUCGACCAUGAAAAGGAAGUUUAUAAAAAUAACAAAAAUGAAAUUAUGAUAUUAGAGUUCAUCAUACUUACAUUUUCAAAAUUUCAGAAAUAACCAAUUUAAAAGCAGAUGAUCAUCUGAUUAUCAUUGAUUACCAUCAUAUUUACCAAAUUUGCAAUAUGAAAAAUAAAGGUGUUAUGAGUUUUUUUUUUUUUUUUUUGUCAUCUAAUGCUUCCCAUUAUGGAAUAUAUAUAUUUUUUCCCUUUAAUUCUUAAAUAAAAUCAUUAAAAAAACUACUCUAUUUUAUGUUAUUUUGUCACUUUUGUAUAAAUUAUAUUUUUUUAAAAAAAAUCCAAUCAUAUUAGUGGUCCAUUUGAAUUGAAUUAAAAAAAUGUUAUUCAAGAAACUAAUUUUUGUUUAAACUAUUUUUUAAAAAAUGGUUGAAAAUUAAUACACUUUAAAAUCUAUUUUGAGUGACUUCCAAACACUUUAGAUUUUUUUUAUCUAAAAUAACUUAUUUUAGAAAUUAAACACUUGAAGAUGUAAUCCAAACACACCAUAAAACUAUGUAUUUUGAUUUGAUUGAACUUUAUAUCUUUAUUUAUUGUGUUUAUAUCUUGAAAUUUUAUAUUUAACAUCCAAACAUAAAUUUUCAUAUAUGAUCAACAUUUGAUAAUUUUGUUUUUAGAUUGUUGGAAAAACAAAUGUUGAUCAUAGUUGUGUCGUGUCAAAACACUGCCCUAAAAGCAAAAAUCGGCGUGACAUCGAUGUUAAAUCGCUUAUGUUGAUUGCUCUCGAAUGUUAACAUAACUUUUCCAACUCAUGCGUGCACACGCUUGAGUUAAGAAUGGAAUCAAAAAGGAAAAUAAUUGCUCAAAGAAUCAGAGGAAAGAAUAGGAUUUUGCAAGAAGAAUAAUUGAACUCUUUAAUCAUAAUUCUUUACACAAUAUAUAUAUUGAUAGAACUAAGACAUGCACAGCGAAAAAAAGAAUCGAAUUUCUACACUAAUUGUCAUAAUUAACAUGUAACCCUAAAACAAUCAAAUUAGGGUUUUAGGAAAUAUUACCUUUGAAGCUUUCAAAAAAACUUCGAUACCUGCUUACCAAUUCAAACCGAUACCACCACUAACACUCAACUACUAUCCUCUGGAUAAACAACCGGGUUGUGGGACCCAAUUUGGUGUAGAAAGUAAUGGAGAUAAAAGGGGAUUGGAAGGUAGAAUGUUUUUUCCUUGGUUGAGAUAUUGGAGAAUGAUAAAAAAAAAGGCAAAAGUUUUCAAUCAUUUGAAAACACCCCUAUUUAUAACCUAAAUACAUGCAAAAAUGCAUGUAAUUAAUUGGUCAAAUCUCAACACCUAAUGUUCCACUAACAAUUAGUGGAACUUAGUGGGCUAGGUGUCUACAUCUCAUAUAGCCACAUAUCCCACUAAGAGUUAGUGGGAUUAUCCAACAAAAUGUUGGAUUUUCCCACUAACUUAGUCCAAGAGUAAAAUGGUCAUUAGAUAUUUCAAGUCAAAAGUCAAGCUUUGACUUUUCUAAGUCAAAAGUCAAUAUUUUGACUUUUACCAUUUUGUCCAUCUUGACUAAUUCCAACCUCCCGAGCAUGAAUCCGCAUUCAUUUUUUCAAAAUUCAAAUCACAUCUGAAUAUAAGGCCGGUCAAAGUUUGACUUUUCAAAGUCAAAAGUCAACAUUUUGACCAAUUCCAUCAAUUAUGAGCUUCUUAGUAUGAAUCCGCAUUCAUACUUAUAGUAUGUAAAACAUAAAGCUCUAUUUCUAAUUAGAAGAUCGACGACUAUAUCAUUAUAUUUGUCGGUUUCUCUUUCUUCUCCCAAUUCAAACAAUUCGACUUAUUUCAUCACACUAUUCUAAGUUUAAUCCACAUGAGCUAGCAGGGGAACCUAAUGGACCUAUAGAUCAUGGGCUCCAACGAUUCAAGAUUAACUAGCUAAACUCUUUUAAACCGAGUUAAUCAACAUUCGUUAACUAACGGGUCAUUCCACUAAAGUCCCGUAGUUGCACUCUCCUCACUAUAGAUAUAUUUGUGUUCAUUUGAUAAAACCAUAAUCAGUAAGUUAAUCCUUCACAGGUUGCUUGUAACCUUGGCUGGGUCAAAAUAUCGUUUCACCCCCAAGAUUACAUCUUGCUCCUUAAGUCGGGCGCGCGGGCCAACGCUGAUGAGCUGCCCUCACCUAUGCAGAUCUGAGGAUAAUCUCGUGUGAACAGGAGUUCAUAGUUAACUCAGGAUUAAGAUUAAGUUACCUAGGUCAUCAAUAAUCGAGAUAGUCAGUUUUAAACAGUAAACGGUGUUAUAACGUAAAAAAGACUAAUUCAUGGUUCAGUCUUAUGUAAACACUUUACAUAGGAUGCCCCCACUUUCAUGUCUCUACAUGAACGAUUCAGGAUCACCUCGUUUGUACUACAAAGUGGGCCGCUCUAAAUAAGGCGCCAAACCUUUAUUCAUAUACUAUAGACUAUUUAGGCUAUACACUCGAACUUGAUCCACGUUUAUGUUUACACAUAAAGUUUAAGUUUAUUCAAAAAUAGCCUUGGAACUUGAUUUAUUGGAUUUAAAAUUAUAAUAUUUAAUUUCUCAAUAACAACUUUAUUGAACAGAAUAUGAUUACAAACUACGAGUUUUAAGACAAAAAAUUUCAACAUAUAUAUAUAAAGAAUAAUUAUUAUAAUUCUAAAAUAAAAUAAAUAAUGAUAAUUAUCAAUUUCCAUUGAAAUAUCAAUUAGAAAACAGUACAAUGAUGGUCAUUUCCAACAUUUCCGUUUGCCCUUCCUUUCCAUAUUAUUCUUGAAUUUUUCUUCUUCUUUCCAUCAUAUUUUUCUCUUCUUCUGCAAUUUUUAUAAAAAAAAUUUCAAACUGUUAUUUUGUUGUUUAAGAUCAUGUGUCAAAUAUAAAAGAUCGUGAUAAAAAAACUUUCAAAUAUUGGAUUGUCAAAUGUAAAUGAUUGCGUACCAAAAAUAGUCAAAUCUAAAUGAUCGUUUUUCAAAUAUAAACGAUCGUGUAUCAAAUUUUUUUGAAAAAAAUCGUUGAAAUUUGACUACCCAAAUUAAAACUAUCAAAUCUAAAUGAUCGUGUAGAAAAGAAUAGUUAAAUCCAAACAAUUGUUUCCCAAUAUAUUACGCAUUUGUUUCCCAAUAUAUUACGCAUUUGUUUCCCAAAUAUAUUAUGUGUGCUAGAUGCCAAUUAAUUGCGGGUAUUUUUUGUAUUUUCCAUUACGGGCUUGUGAGUUUUUUUCAUUUUCGAAAAUGUUUUAUAGAGUGUAAAUAUUGAUAGAAAUUAGACAUGCACGACGGAAAAUGAAUCGAAAUUCUACCAUAAUUGCACUUAAUUAAUGAGUAAAUUCUAAACCAAAAAUAAAUUGAAAUGUGGGUUUUGAGAAUACUUACAUUCAAAGCUCUGAUAUUUGUUCGAACAACCAUUAAGUUGUCCUACUAUCUUCUGUACUUAGAACCGAGUUGUAGGAUCGGUUGGAUGAAAGAACUGGGAGAGAGAAAAAGAUGGAAAUAGGAAAAAAAAAUGGAUUCAUGAGAUUAAAGGUUUUGGGGCUUGAGAGUUUUUUUUUUUUUUCUUCGUUCGUUUUAAAAACAGUUGCCCAAAACUUCAAAAUUCAAAACUUUUUUCAACAAAUAAUGAAGGCUCAUAUUUACAAUGAAAACCCAUGCAAAAGUACAUGUAACAAAUUCAUUAUGGUCCAACAUCUCACAAUCCAUUUUCUCUAGUAGACUUUUUGUCCUCGUCAAAUCACAACGCCUAGCACACUAGACUUUUUGCUUUCUUUCUAUUCUCUCAAAUAUCUUUAACUCCAUUGUUGAACUUGAAUGUUGAUUUUGGAAAUCACAAAAGAUUGAACGAAAGGUAAAGUAAAAGGAAAUUUUGCAUGAACAAAAGAAUGAAGAGAAGAGAAAACAAACUUUUCCUUUGCUUUUUAUGAAUCAUGCCAAAUAAAUACAAAAAUGUCAACCAUGUUGGAAAAUGGUAAAAAAAUAAAUAAAAUCUUUUAUUUUUCUAAUAAUGAUUUGUCUAACUCUUUUUAUAUUUGUUUUUGUGGUAUUUGGUAUAAUUAUAGUGUAUUUUGGUGUUUUUUUUAAUGGUUUAAAAACUCUCUAAAUUAUGGGAUGUUUUAAUGCAAGUGUGAGUUUUUUUUUGUACAAUUUCACACUCUUAUUCUUCAUUACUUAUCCAUAUUUUUCCACUUCUAUAAUUUUUUAUUUAUUUUUCGCUAUUUGUCCAAAACCUUUAAUUUUGCCUUUUAUUUGAUCAUUAUAAAUGAUCGACGAGGGGCGAGGGCCUGAAAUGUAAUUGCAUUAAAGACAGCCCACCAUUUGAUAACAAAUUAUGAAAGCCCAAAAAGUACCGUAGCCCAUUAGAAAAGGUCCAAUAUCUUUUUGAAAAGAAUUCAUUGGAUUUGGGCCUUGGGUUUGUUUUUCAUGGUUUUCUCCCAUCUUUAGAAAGUAAUUCACAUAUAGGGUGGAAUCGAGGGUAAUAUUUAUAAUACAAGCAUUGUUUUAGACUUUAGUUGAGCUAUGUUGGUUUUGGGAGAAGUGAAAAUAUCUAAAGUUAGGGGGAAUUUGAAGUUUGUUCUAAUCAUUUAAAUCUCUCUAAGUGAUUUCAAAAUUGAUAAAAUCACAUUUUCUCGAGUUUGAAAAUUUUAAGCUGGUCACCUCCUUAUUAAUUGAUUGUAGGAGUGUUUAACGCAAAUGUAUGAGUGUGGCAAUGAGUUGAGAUAUAAAUUCCACUUAAUUAAAGAUUUGUGUUUUGUGCACUUGGACUUGAUUCAUUUGUUGGCCUACAUCAUAUAAUUGGGCUACAGAAUGUGCUUUUCAUAUUCUUUUUUGUAACAUGACCGUUGAUAGAGUUAUUAAUUACAUUUUGAGGCUAUUCUCAAUUACAAUAUAAAUCCAACUUAACUUAAAAUUAAUGUCACAUGCACAAAUUUGUAAAAUGAUUUGAAGCUUAUUGUUUUCUUUAUGGUUCUCAACGUGUCACGAGCAAUUGUCUUCUAAAAUAAGACCAAAUAAUUAACCUAUGAAUGUAACAGUUCAAGUCUUCAACCAUAAGAUCCAAACAUUACCAUGUGUGAGUUUCUUUAUAUUAUGGAGAUAAUGAGGAGACAGAGAAUUAGGAGAACAUCUUUUUUAAUGUUUUUUCAUUGCAAUCAACAAGUAUUUUUUUUUUAAUAAAUAAUUUAAUUCCUUUCCUGUUUUUAACUUUCAACUUUUUUUUUUUUUUUUGUGAGAAUGAAGUGUAAAACACGAAAAUAUUUUUGCAAUUACAUCGUAAAAAUUACUAUAAUAAAAUAAAAAUAAAUAAAAGUGGAAAAAAAUGAAGUGAACAAAAUGGUAGUAGAGAAAGCCAAGGAACUGAACCCAAGUCGUGCGAUCUGUUUGGGUAUAAAUUUUUGAUGACUGGGUGAUUUUUAAUAAGGGUUAAUUAUUUGUUUGAAAAAACUUACGAGUGGAACAAUUAAAUUAGGAUUAAAAAGUGAUUGAACUCAAUUCCAUCAACUUCAGAAAAGAGAAUGCAUGAAGUGAGAAUGGAAACAAAAAUGAAAUGUGUCCCCCCACCUUUAAACAAUAAUGGAGCACCACCAUAUAGGUUAUUCAUUAUACAUCAUAUAUGGAGAGGUCCCCUUUUGUUGCAUAUUUUACUUUAACAUCAUUUUUAGAGCUAACUUUUAGUACAAGUAGAUAUUAAAUGAUUUUGGAGUCCAUUGCCCCUUGUCCUUAAAAAAAAAAAAAAAAAAAAAAAAAGAGAUUCAUUGUUUUGUUCUAUAAAACUAAGCCCACACCACACCAUAAUCUUCCUUUUGUUAUUAUUAUUAUUUAAUUCCCCACCUGAAUUUAAUUCAAUGGAAGACUUUCUUUCUCAUGUCCUUUUCCUUUUCCUUAUAAUCAAACACCAUAUGCCUAUUUUGGAUAUAUCUUAAUAAGACUAUAAAUUAUGGAUAUCAAUUGCAACAUUAACACCGAUUAACAUGAUGGUGAAAUGUUUCAACUCAUUUCAGUGUAUUUAUGAAUUCAAUCACUUCCUUCAAUAUAAUUUAUUUUAGUGGUGUAGUAUGGUGUGAUGUAAUUAUUUUUAAAAGGAGAUCAUUCAAUUGUGAUAUUGAUACAAUGUUGUAACAGUACUCGCUUUAUACAUAAUUCAUAACGUAGAUUAGAUAUAAGUGUUCUAUUAAAAAAUAUUUAUUAAUAUUUUAGAUUAUUAGUCGAAGUCUUCCUAAGAAAUGACAAGUCCACGAAGUUUAUCUUCUUUUUAUUCUUUUGGAAUUGAAUUGGAGGGUCAAUAAUUGCUAUUUCAACUUAUGGUUCAUAUAUUAUGUGCCUAUGAAUUAAUUUGAAAAGCACAAACAAAUUUGAGGUUGAAGGGACCUAAGAUGUAAAAUGAGUGUUAUCCUAUACUUAGGAUUUUAUAUCUACGCCACGUUUAAGGGUGAUUUUAAAAAGUAUUGAAAUUAUUUGUUUUAAUUAAUUUUUUUUCUUCUAUUUUUUUGUGAAACCAAAAGCCUUACGAAGUCUAUAAAUAUUCUCUUAGGUUGAUUAGAUCUACGUGAAAAAAUAUAUACCUCUCAUUUUUCUUGGAUUUUUUUAGCAUAAUCAGGAGUGUGUCAAUCAAGACAGACGAGAUCUAGGUUGUUUUAUCCUAGAGACAUCGUGACAUUAUUUUCAAUCUACUUGUAUCCUUGGUAGAGCCAUAAAACAUCCUAAACAGAGUGUGGUCCGCGACUCAGCCACUCACGGGUUUAUGUUUUGCAGAUUUUAUUUGUCGUUGUUGUAUUCUAAAUUUUGUUUAUGCAUGUUCCUUUGUAGUUGUUUCAAUUGUUUUGGUUUUGUUGGUUUUCAUUAGAUUCUGAAUUUUGUUCUUGUUGAAGUGUAUUUGUUCCAACAACUAAUAGACUUAUAAGAUAUGUAUAGAACCACGUAUUUAUCUAAUACAACUUCGUUAAAUUGUACCUUAAACAUCUUUGUUACCUUCCACUUAAAGUGCUAUUAGUUCAUCUAUUUAGUAAUCAAUUUUAUAUAUAUUGUACAUGUGAUUCAUCAAAAUCAUCGUAGAGAACAUUUCUUAAACUAAAUUUGAAGUGAAUGUUUAGUACCACCGACAGAGCCAUACAGAGGCAAAUUCAAUACACAAUUACCGAAUACGUCUUACAAAUGCUUCAAAUGUUCUAUUUAUAGAUAAUUUGAUAAGCAUGAGUGAAUUACAUGACUAAGUAAGUAUUUUCAAGACAUUUGCCAAGGAAGUGACACAUGAUAAUAAACACAUUUUAAGACAAUAGCAUUUUAGGUGGAAUGUGGAAUGUGGAAAGGAUGACAUAUGAUCUGUAAGGAACAUGUAUGUGUUAAUUUUGCUCAUUAGGGUGAAAUUAUAUAAUUUGUAUAUUAUAUCAAUGUGUUCAUAUGAACUUGUACUAGGGACAUACCCACAUGGAGAUAGGGGCAAAAUAAAAACUUGUACAACCUAUUGUGCACGUUUAUAAACACUAAUUUAGAGUUUCAUUGGGUUAAACAUCAAAUCCUAUAAUAUAGAAAUGUGUCCCUAACUUAAAAUUCUGGCUACAUAUAGUAUAUAGUUAAAUUUAAUAAAAAAAUAUACUUAAAUGUUUUACUGCAUUAACUAUUAUAUAUACAAAUCAAUAUACAUAUAUAAUAAGAUUGUAAUACUUAUCUUGAUUGUUGGGUAAAAAUUGAAAGAAGAAAAGAACGUUGAUUUGACAGUUGAGGGUAAGGAGAUGAUAAUGAAGAAGUUUGGGGAAAUUAAUUAGAUGCACAUAACCAAAUCCUUUUAAGGGGAGUGGACAUCUUCUUCCUCCACCAUUAUUAAUUCAUCAUGUUCUACAAAAAUACAAAAAAAAAAAAAAAAACUUACCAAAAUUCUCAAAAUAUUUUUCAACUUUAAACCAUGAUAUGAUUUCUUUUCUUUUUCUCUUAUUCUUAUUGGUUGGCCAUUAUAGCUUGUUUUAAUUAAUUUUAUCUCUAUACCAUAUCAUAUCUUCAACAUAUUUAUGCUUCAAUUGGAUUUGCCCUUUCUUCUCACUUUAUUCCUUUUUUUUCUUUCUUUUUGUCUAAUUUAAUUUCCUAAACUUUUUUUCUUUUUUAGCUUUCUUUUCUUCCCACACACAUAAGCAAACAAAAUGUUUCAUCACACCAUUAUUCAACAUUCAUUUUUCCCAUCAUCCUUAAUUCUCAAUUCAUGUGUUAAAUUAAAACACUACAAAGUGUGUUUACAAUCAUUUCCUUUCUCUUUUGUUUCCUUCUUUGUUUUAGCUCAAACCUUUCUUUAGUUUGCUUCGUCACAUUUUUCUAUUUUGUCGAAAGUUGAUUAUAAUAAGAAUAAUGAUUAGAUACGACUUAGGUUACAUUUACACACAAAUAACAAAAAUUAUAUAUAAAAAAAUGAAGUACCAUGCGGCACAUUUCUCUAUUAAGAUGUUAAUGAAAUAUUAAUGGUACAAAAACAUGUAUAACCUAGUUAUACUAAAAUUUUAUUUUUUAUUUUAUGAUAAUCGUGAAAAGUCUAUAUUAUACAACUUUGAUAAUAAGUUCUCUUUUUUCUUUCUAGUCAAAUACCUAAAUAAAAAUAAGUUUAAGAAAAAUAAUGAAUAUAUACACUCACUAUCAUGUUUGAAAUUUCAAAGUUGAGUUUGAAUUAAUUUAGAAUGAAAUGAUUUUAUAAAAUUUAGAGAUAAUGUUAUAAGAAAAUUUCUUUCAAAACGGAUGAAUUCAAAUUUAGACACUUCCAAAUUGCAAUAAUAUUAUAGUAUAUUAAACCAACUAAACCUAAAAAAAAAUGUAUUAAAACAUUAAGAAUGAGUUUAAUAUAUUUAAUGUAUGUAUGUAUAGAAAAGGAUAGAAAGAAGUAAAAUAUAUAAUUAUAAGGUGGGAAUACUGAAAAGAGAACAAAUUUUGAAAAAUGAUAUAGAUUAAUUGCAUUUAGAAAUUUGAGAAAUAAAAUAAAACAAUUAAAAGACAAAAAAAGAAAACUAAAAAGAAAUAAAAGCCGUACUGAGUACGAAAUAGGCGGGAGAUCCUAAAUGAGAUUAUUAAAUUAAAUUAUAUAUUAUUUUAGAAAAAAGGAAAUUAAAAAAAAAUAAAAAAUAAAAAAGAGGGAAAACGACAUGAAACGACAGCGUUCAAGUUGGUUAGGGGCAUGGGGAGCAGACGCCUCCAAUUGGCAACCAAUUUUUGAAAUUAAAAUUUAAAUUAGUUUCAAAUAAAUGAAGGAUGAGAAAUUAAAAUAAUCUAUCCCAUACAUUAUUUUCCUUUUCCCCUCUAACUACCUAACUACCUUUAUAUUCCUAUUCCCUCCCCUUCCCCCCAACUUUAUUCUCUCUUUCUUUUUUUCAUAUAUUAUACACUCCCACAAUAUACAUAACACUCCUCAUCAACAAAAUUUAAUUUGGGUUAAAAUACUCAUCCAUAUUUUCUAAUUCAAGUAAUUUUUCUUUUUAAGUUAUGAUUUUAUAUAAUAUAAAUGUUAUUUUUUGUAAUGUUUUAUGAAGAUUUUAAAAUAUAUAUAAGAGAUAUUAAUAUAUAUAUAUAAGUAUGAAAAGUGAAGGAUAUAAUUGAUUAAUAGGGGGGGGAGAGAGUAGAAGGAAUGAAGCUAUCAAAGGAGAGAAGUGGAGGGGAAAAAAAGGGAAAUGGGCCCAAGGGUAUGACCAAACGGCCUAAUUCAAAGAACAUAACACCGAAUAUAUCCCUUCUCUAAAUAUUAAUAUAUAUUGUUUCUUUUUCUUUGGCACAUUGAGGAAUUUAUACUUUUUUGUUUUGUAUUUAUUUCAUUGAUUUGGUUUGUCAACUUUUAAAACGACGAUAGCAUGUUGGUGCUUUGCUUUGCAAAUGGGUUGAAGUUGAGUGGGAUUCAUGCAAAUCAUUAUUUUUUAUCUUUUUAUUUUCUUCUCAAAAACAGACCAUCAAAACGACACUAAUAGAGUAGGUGCCAUGAAUGGGCUUUUACUAUUUUCAAAAACAAUAAUCUUUCCCAUUUCCCCUUUUCCUAUUUCAAAAUAAAUAAUAGCAAUAUGUAAACAAUAUAUCAUCAUCGAGUUUAUUAGUUUAGUCAUGUAACAAAUUUCAUUCAACUUUAACACUCAUUUUUAUAAUAUGGGUUAAAGCAUUACAAACUUUAAAGUUUAGAUAAUAUAUAUGGUUGCGUCGUAGAUUUCAUAAACUAAAUUGUUACAAAAGUGAAAGUACAAAUAUUAAAUGGUUACAAAUAAAAGCCUAUAAACUAAAUUGUUAUUUUGAUAAAUGUCUAGGGAUUAAAAGUGAUUUUUAACGUAUAAAAAAUAUUGAAUUGCAAUCAUAUUUAUGUAUUAUUACAAAAAAAAUAUAAAAUUACAAGCUUGGAUGUGACAAACUUUUUUAAAAUAAAAUAUAAUUUUUAAAACUUAUAUUAUUGCUUCUGCUUUGUUAGUCAACCUAAGUUUUCCUAACCACUUGGACUUUGUGUUAUAUGGAAAUUUGGAAUAUGAAGUGCAUAAUUAGAAAUAAUGGUGUUGUAUAUGCUUUUCUUGCUUAUAUGUAAUUUUCUAUAUUUAGAAAUAAUUGUGUUGAAUAUGCUUUUCUUACUUAUAUGUUUUCUAUAUAUUAGAAAUGUUUUUACAAUUUAACUCAAAUUAUGAAUAACUAAAAAAAAAUUAAAAAACUUGUUAUUGUUUUUUUAAAAUUGUAUGAGAAUUAAAAUGUUAAUGAAAACUAUGGGAACAUACACAUCAGAUUUUUAAAAUUAAAUGAUUAUUAAACAAAAAUUAAUUUAUAAUAAAUAUGAUUUAGUUACAACUUAUAUAUAGAGGAUUCAACUUAAUACACUUCGUCAUAUAAACCCUCCUGAUACAAACAAGACGUUAUUUUCAAAAUUAUAUAUAAACAUAGAAAAAGAGAGUGUUAGAUAUGGAAACUAUUAAAUUGUGUAUAUAUUUUAUGAAUGGCAUGGGACAAAUACAUAUAUAAUUACUUAGCAUACAUAGUCAUACAAAACAAAAAGAUGAAAUCAUGUCCUAUUAUUUUGAGGCCAAGCAAAGACUAGAGAAAGAUAUAAUAAUUAUACAAAUAUAUAAGAAUUUAAAAAGUGAGUUUGUCUUGUUGUUUUCUUUGUUUUUGUAGAAGAUUCAUUGCUCUGGUCGCCAUCUUUGAGGUGGCAAACAUCAACUCCCAUGCCCCUAACUCUAUCCUUCUUAUUAUUUAUUUAUAUAUUAUCCAACCUUCAUAUUUAUAUUUCUAUACUGAUAUGAUAUUAUUUUAUUUUUUAAUCUAUCAUUUUAAUCCAAACCAAUUCAAGCAGUACAUUAUUGAAUAUGUUGUCUUGGAAUACAAAAUGGAUACAAUACAUGCAUAUUAUGACUAAAUAUUGAAAAAAUUAUUAAAAUAUUCUAAUGGUCGGAUAUAUUUAUCCUACAUUGACUUACAUUGCGAGAUGACACAAGUUAGUAGCUAGUUUUGUUCGUGUACAUUGCACUUAAUCAUGACAUCUCAUAUUUACAUAUAUAGUUUGAACUUUCGUCCAAAACUUUAUAUGUCAUAAUAAGUGAGUCAUAUCUUUUAAAAAUGGAUUAAAUUACAUAAAUUUUGUUGAGAUAUACAUGAUCAAAAGGUCGUUUAACAAAAUGAUGAUGUAUUACAUGAUAUGCACACAUAAAAGCUAGGGUAUUUGUUCCUUUUAUCAAAUUGUCACGUCAAUUUAAAAAAUGUCUGUUAGAAAGAACAUUUCUAGUCGUUGGGCUUAUAUUUGUUUUUCUAAAGAAAAAAGGAAAAAGAGAAAUCUAUGAAAUUAAAGAGAUGCUCUUCUUAGGGUUUAGGGUUGAAUAUCUCCACGUCCAUUAAAAGAAAUGAGACUCUUCCCAUAAUAUAUAGUUGCUAUUGAUCUAAAGAAUAUAUUCAUCAUUACAAACGUUCAUAGCCAACAAAAUAAUAAUGAAGAAAACGAAAACCAACAACAAUGACCUUUAAAUUUAUAUCUUUUUACCGUCUGUUUGGUUGAACUUUAAUUUUAAAUUCUUUUUGGCAACCAAUUUUUAAAUUUCAUCAAACAAUCCCACCAUCGUUAUUGCAUCGAUGCUAUAUAUUAAAUUAUUAUCUAAGUUAUAAACUACAUUCGUGAUGCUUAAGACAUAUCCCAUCUUAAACAGUAAGUUCAUCAUACCUAUCAUAAAUUAUUAUUAAUUCAACCAAAAAGGAAUGCUAAUUUGAGCUUUGUAAACAUAAAAUUGUAUUAGCAUGGAUCUCUCAUUUUGGUUAAUUGUACUUUUAAAAAUGAACUUUCUUCACUGUCACUUUUUUUUUUUAAUUAUUGUGUUAAUAGUGUAUUGGUAACAAAGUUAAUUUAAUUUUUUUCGUUAAAACGUACAUGUAUUUGAUAUCAUAUAGUGUUGAUUUGUCAUUCCUAAUAUAUAAAAUAUGAAUUCACAUCUAAAACUAAAAUGGUAGAAACACACAUCUUCCAAAUUGUACCUUUGAGUAUAAGCAUUAUUUACUAAUGAGGGUGGAUAAUGAAAACUUUUUUUUACAUAUGAUAUUGUCUACUUUAAUUUAGACACAAACUUCGUAUUAAAAAUAUCGUCUCAUACUUUUAUAUAUACAUACCUGUGGUAUUUUUUCUUUUUAUCUAGUCACAAUACAAAAUUCAAUUUUGCAUUUUCCAAUAAAUCAAUAAAAUUAAUCUUUUAUUAUGCUUAGGUACAAACAAGUUUCUACAUUUAGUACGAAAAUUAGAGAGAUAACCAUCGUACACAAUCACAUCUCCAUUGAUAUUGUUAGGUCGAGUUUAUAGUCAAAACAAACAAUAGCAUAUGAUCAUUGUAGAGAUACGUAGAGAUUUUAGUAUCCUAAAAGAAAAUACAAUAUUCUUCAAACUUUGGAUACCAAAAGUAGUUGACAAUGGGAAAGAAGAGAAGAGAAGAGAAAAAGAAAACGAAAAUAUCCCCAAGUUUGAUGAAGCCGUAGAAGAACACAUAAUGAUUUUAAAUAGACAUUGAAAACUUGUCUUUUCUAAAAGGGAAUAAUCCCCGUCAUCCUCUCUAAGAAUGAAUACGACAUCCAAAUAUAUAUUGUGUAAUAUUAAGAUUUGACGCACACCCAACGACAUGUCGUUUUCCUUUUUCUUUUUUCUUUUUUCUUUUUGUGAAAAAAAUAUUUUUCAUUUUGUAUUUUGAUAAAGUUUGUGGUUUAUGCCAUGUGUCGAUAUUUAGUUGUCUAAAUAUUUGGGUCCUCAUCACUUAUUUCGUACUAUAUAUUUGUAUGUAACCACACACUUGAGAUAAUUUAUAAUAUUACUAAGUAAUUAACAAAAUAAAUUUAAAAAAAUUACACGUAAUUGAUUAAUUUUUUAAUUAGCUUUUAUAAUAAUUGUUGACACAAUCUUGUUUCUACAAAAAAAUAGAGUUAAGAUUUUUUUUUAUCAUCAUCUUUAUCUAUAUGAAUAUCACUUUAGUUAGGCUCAUUUUAACUUCUAAUGUCCAACCAUCUCUCCUAUACUUUAAAUAAUAUAGAUAAUUGUGAGUUGCUUUCUACUUUUAGUAAUAAUAAUAAUAAACCGUCACCUUUUAAGUUAAAAGAAUAUAUGAUGAUUUAACAACGAUAGUGUGAUUUGUCCUUUAGAGUAAAAAAGUAAAUAAUGUAUAAUGGCGUUCACUAUUAUUUUUUCCUAUUGUAAAAUGACAAUAAUAGAUAGCAUAUAAAAAGGGGAAAAAAUGGUGAGAUCCUAUUAUUUUUUAAAAUAAAGAAAGCUUUGGAUAGACAACAAAUGGAAGAGAAGAAUUCACUCAUUACACGUAACAAGGAGAAGUUAUAUAAAAAAAAAUGUUACGUUUGUGAAUAUGAAUCGAGGGCGGUUAUUUCUUACUCUAAAUGUGAGACAAAAAGAGUCCACUAAUAAUUAAUAGUUAAGUUGAGAAUUUGGUGCCUUACAUCUCUAUUCAUUAUUUAUGUUCCAAAAAUGUAAGAAUGUAGGUUUCUUUCGCUCACAAUCAUCAUUCUUCUCUUUUCUUUUUUCAAAUUCCACUUAGUUCAAUGCAAAUUCUGCAUGCAAAAUUUUGAUAUUUCAAUGUCUGCCCUUUCAAAAUUUAUAAGGAAAAUUAUUAAAAAUAGAAAACUUCCAAAAAAUAUUUACUCUCUGUAAUAUUCCAUCCGAAUCUAUCAAUAAUAGAGUCUAGAAUUUUGCUAUAUGUUAUAAAUAUUUUAACUUAUUUUACUAAUCACGAUCAAUAGAAAUAAACUCUAAUAUUUCAUGCUAUAAACUUAAUUUGUUUAAAAAAUUAAAAUAUAGAGUCAUCAUGGACUUAACGAUGGUAUCGAUAAGCUUUUGAGGACUAGAAGUUUCGUGUUUAAAUCCUUCACCAUGGUAAUUAAUAAGAUACUUUUCUAAAAUCAAAAUAAAAGAAAGAACAUAGAAUCGGGAUUAUUCAGAAAAUUUAACACAAAAUAUAUUGAAAACUUGGGAUAAUAUCAUAAUAAAAAAUAAAAGAGGUUCGUAUUAUCUAAAUUGAAACAUGGGACAAUAGUUAUUUAUUUAUUUUUCAAAAUUCAUUUUAUAUUUUCAAUUUUGAUAUCAUAAUUAGAAAAAAGAUUAUAAACAAACAUUUUUUUAAAAAAAUUUACUUAAUGAGUAUGAUAUUUCUAUUUCAGGUGGUGUGGUUCUAAUUUAUGUCAAUGUUAUAAAAAUGACAAAUUAAAAAAAUAUAAAACGUAGGUUUGAAAAAACAAAUGUUAUAUAAUACAAAAUAAUAAAGUCUAGUUAAAGGGUUAUAUAUAUAAUGUGUACUUCCCUAAACUGUAGACGUACCAUGGCAAGUAAACUAAAAAUAAUUAAAUAUGUCAAAUUACAAAUCAUACUUGGUCAUUCAAGUAACAAAAUUGAGGGUAUUCCAACAGUUCCACUAAUUCAAUUUUAAAAUCCACCAUCUUUUAUUAUGUAGGAAAAUGUGAGUAAUACGUUAAAUAUUUUAUAAAUAAUAAGCAGAGGUGAAGAUUGAUGUUCGCAAUUUUUAGAGACAAGUGUCUAAGUGUGUACUCCAAGAUGGAGAGGAUCGAGUAAGGGUGAGAUUGGAAGAGAGAGAGAGAGAGAGAAAGGUGAAUAGUAAGUAGAGAAAGGUGAGAGAGGGAGGAUGAAAUGAAUAGAUACAAACAGUUGGGUUAGAACUGGCAAAGGGAAUGAUAAAAUAGAUAUUGAUACAUAUAAUAUAUAUUAUUAUGGUCAAGGUUCAGUGCAACUAAGUAAUUGUGAGAGCUUCUCCCCCAUUGCGCCUUGUUGUUCUUGAACUGUCAUUAAACGUGGCAGAUUAAAUGACACGAUUCCCUUUUCAUUUCUCUCCUCCUCCUCCUCCUCUUCUUCUUCUUCUUCUUCUUCUUUUUAUAAUUUAAUUCCUCACUCCUAGUACACCCUUUCUUUCUUAACUUUAAAUUAUAUACUACUAUCCAUAUGAACAAUAAUUAAACAUUGUAUAUCUAAAAUCACAACCCUUACCUUCUUCCUCAAGUCAAACCAUUAUAUUAUUAUAAACUUCUCACACAUUUGCCUUUUCUCUUUCUAUACUCUCAUUUUAAUAUUCAAAUUAACUACGUAUUUGAUUCCUAAGCAUAGGCUCUACUUUCCAUAUUUUAUUCUUAACUAAAGUAUCCAAAUGUUAAGUAUUUCUUAGUUAGGGUAGAUUUGAAAAUUGUCAAAAUAAAAUAAGUCUUUUUAUUUUACAUUAUAAUUAUCUCAUUCUAGUCCACCAAAAUUCUUUUUACCCUAAUGUUUCAAGUCCAAUAUUCGAAAUUCAGAUAGCUUCAACUAUAUCCUUGGGUGACUGGACAACACAUUAUGCUUCAUUGUCUUUAAUUAUUUUGAAGAAUAAAGAUUUUGUUUUUGUUUUGUUUUUAUUCACCUUCACAUGCAUAAUUCAUACAAAAAUUUUAAGAAUCUUAUACCUAACCUAAAAUUGUUGAAAGCUUUGUUCAAAACUAAACACGUUUGACUUUGAAAUUGUUACGAUUCAUUUGUAAAAUGGAAGAUUUCUUAUUAAUAUAUAUAAAUUUAAAAAGCUUUUUCAAGAUCGGGAAUGUGUGAAUUCUCUUAGUCAAGUUUAUUUUGAGUUUUAAACUCAAUCAAGUUUCUUGAAAUUUGAAUUUUUUUUAUAGAAAAAAUUAGCACUAUUGCAGUUAUGAUGGGAUGUGGCGUAUUACUGCUGGUAUGAAAUAGGAAAACUUAAUUAAUUAUAAAUUAAUCUUAUUCAUGAUAAAAUAGAGAAACUUAAUUAAUUAUAAUUAUUAAAAAAUUAAUUUUAUAAAACUAUAUUAAGUAUGAUUAACUAAAACCAAAAUUUAAGAAACAAAUGGAGAAUAUUUUGAAACAUUAGACCCAAAACAUAGCACUUAAUCUUUUUUCUUUUUGUGUGUGUAAAUAUAAUAUUAAUAAUACGCUAAUAAUUAUGUGAGCCGGGGUAAUUAAUCAUGUAUACUCCCCUAAGUGUAUAUAUAUAUAGAUUCAUAUAUUUGUAUCACUGGCAAAGAACCGACCAAUAAAAGGCCGGCUUUGCAGGGAUGAAUCAUUGAUGCAUAUAUAAUUAUAUGAACCGACCAUAUGUUAUAAAUUGCAUUAAUCUCGAACUUGAGCUAUUUUAAUUUAUAUUCCUCCUUAUUAUUAUAUGAACUUGGAGCUUGGGUUGCACUUGUACACAAUUAAUUAAUUAUCUAAAAUGGAUGAACCCCUCUAGUUCUUUAAUUAAUUAAUUGAUUGAUUAAGACAAAAGGAGAGAGAGAAACUAAAAGAGUUUGAUAAUUUAAUAAAUAAAAACCCUACUACUUGAUUGAUUGUUUAUAAUUAUAUAUAAUAAUUAUUAAAAGCCACACCCCCAUCUGGGGAUUUGGGGAAUGACAGCCAACUUACAGAAGAGUAAAUAGUCGGCGGCACUUGUUCAUUUUCUCUUUUUAAAUUCUAUUAUCAUUAUUUUCCAAUCAUAAAUAAAUGCAUGCAAUAAUAGGAGUUUAUAUAUUGAGAAGAUCUGGAAAAUGAGAUCAUAUGAGAUCAAGGGAUUAUGGGUAUUUUUAUUUUUUAUUUUGUUUAUAAGAAAAUUAAGUUUAAGUUAAGGAGGCAAAGUGGAUCUUUGGAUGUAAUAUAGAGAGAUAGAGAGAUAUAUAUAGAGAUAUCAUUGUGAAGUCCAAGGUUGGCUCUAUUAGGCAGAUACUCACUGAGAUUUCAAGCAAAAAUCUCAUGCAGAUCUUUCUAAUAUCCAAAUUUUAAUUUCCAAUAUGCCCAAGUCAAGGAUUCUAUAUCAAAUCCUAAACUACAAAAUCAUAUACAUGUUUUUUAAAUUCUUUCAUUUACUUAUAUAAUUACACAUUCAUUAUUAUUCUUUUUGUUGCAUUUCAAUACCAAUUGAUUAGCGAAAACAAUAAAUCAUGUUUCUCGUAAAAAUUCAAAGGCCGAUCUCUCCAAUCUCUAACAAAAGAUCCUCCCAACCAUGCAUGUCUUAGUUUCAAACUUAUCUUCAACAACAAAUAAUUUUAAUAUAAAACUCUAGCUUUUUCUCAUAUAAUUAUCUUACUUCAACUCUAAUUUAAAUCUCUAUUAACUUGACUUCCAAGGUUACUUGGACAUAAUAUCACACUAGAUAUAAAUCUCUCAAGAAUCCAUAUUUUUCUACCAAUUUCUUUAUAGUAUAUAGAGGUUCUUCUUUUUCCUUUUUUUAGAAUUUGAACAUUAAUAAAAAGAAAUUAUUGUAAAUAGUAAAAAUUACAAAACAUGGUAAAAUUUCAAAUUGUAUUAAUAAGAAAAUAUUGUUUGAAUAUAUGGAGAAUAGAAAAUAUUGUUUGAAUAUAUAUCAAAAAUUCAUCCCUAAGAACAGGAAUCAACCAUUAAAUAAAAUAAGGAAUAAUACUUAACCCAUAUUAUAAUAAUAAAUAAUAUGACAACGAAAUCAGUCCAUUAAAAAAAAAAAAAAAAAAAAGAAAAAAAGAGUUCCCUUAACGACACAGAUAACAAAAAACCGCAAGUUCAUGAACCAAAAUUUCGUCUCUUUUUUACCCUCUCCCCUAUAAAUACCCCUCUCCGCCGCUCAUUUUUCUCCACACUCACAAAUUCACUUCAUAAUUAUUUCUCUCAAACAAAAGAAAAUGCCAAUUCCAACUCCCUCUUCUUCUCCGCUCCUCCUCUCUAAAUGCAUUGUCUUCCCCGAUCAACCUUCCUCCCUCCCCGACCUCCAACUCUCCGUCUCCGAUCUCCCCAUGCUCUCCUGUCACUAUAUCCAAAAAGGCUGUCUCUUCACUACUUCCAAUAAUCUCGACGCCACUUCUAUCAUCCAGCGUCUCAAAUGCAGUCUCUCCAGAGCUCUCUCUCGUUUUCCUCCUCUCGCCGGUCGUUUAGUCACUGACGACGAUGGUUACGUUUACAUCAAAUGUAACGACGCUGGUGUCGACUUCAUCCACACCAAUGCCGGUGAAUUUUUCGUUCGUGACCUUCUCGCUCCUGGCGAUGUCCCUGAUUGCUUCAAGGAGUUUUUUGCUUUUGAUCGAACCGUUAGUUUCGCCGGUCAUUUUAAUCCAAUCAUGGCCGUUCAAGUCACCUUCCUCGCCGACGGCAUUUUCAUUGGCUGCUCCGUUAACCACGCUGUCACCGACGGUACCUCCUUUUGGAAUUUCUUCAACACAUUUGCCGAGGAGUGUAAAUCGACAACGACGACUAAAAAACUCGCUAUCACUCCGUCACCGGAUUUCCUGCGUGAUUGUGUUCUUGUUUCUCCGACUGUCCUCCGACUGCCGUCGAGUGGUCCUAAAGUUACGUUCUCCGGGGAUGUACCGUUACGGGAGAGAAUAUUUAGUUUCAGUAGAGAAGCAAUUUUGAAACUGAAAGCUAAAACGAAUGAAAAGAAAUUAAUCGAUAACGGGGAGCUAACGGUAACGGCCGUGGAGAUUAUGGGGAAGCAAAGUAAUGAUAAGUACUGUCAAAAUAACGGAAAAGUAGGGACCAUUAAAGACAGCUGGAACAGAAACGACACCGUUUCGAAAGAAAACGCGAAUUGCGAGGAGAUCCCAAACACAACGAUAUCGUCGUUUCAAUCACUUUGCGCCUUGUUAUGGAGGUCAGUAACACGAGCGAGAAAACUCCCACCCAACAAAAUGACAACCUUUCGUAUGGCGGUGAACUGUCGUCACCGGCUUGAGCCGAAGUUGGAUCCUUACUACUUCGGUAAUGCAAUUCAGAGUGUUCCGACGUACGCUUCCGCCGCCGAUGUUCUCUCUCGGGAUCUGCGGUGGUGCGCUGAGAAGUUGAACGAGAACGUGAUGGCGCACGAUAAUGGAAUGGUGCGGCGGUUUGUAGAGGAUUGGGAGGGGAAUCCGAGGGUCUUUCCACUGGGGAACGCCGAUGGUGCGUCGAUUACGAUGGGAAGUUCUCCUAGAUUUCCGAUGUAUGAGAACGAUUUCGGAUGGGGACGACCGUUGGCGGUGAGGAGUGGACGGGCGAAUAAGUUCGACGGGAAGAUUUCGGCGUUUCCUAGUAGAGAGAGCGGUGGAAGCGUUGAUUUGGAGGUGGUUUUAGCUCCGGAAACUAUGGCGGGGAUUGAAUCAGAUUGGGAAUUCAUGCAAUAUGUUUCGUCUACUUCGUCGAAUUAAAAGGUAAAUUUAGUAGAAAGUUUGUGCAAAUUUCGGCCUUCCAUGGCAUAACGGUGAGGAUGAAGAAGAAGAUGAUGAUGAUAAAUAUAUGUAUGUGUGUCUUCUGUGGAAAAUGAAACUAUUAUAUGAAGACGAAGAAGCUUGUUUUUUCUGUGAAAUAUUGAAAAUUUUAUAAUAAUCGGAUUUUUCAUCAAGACUGUUCGUGUUGGAUUAUGAGUGAUGAUGAUACAUCACCUCAGUUCAGUUUUCAGAAAUGAAUAAUUCUAAUCUUUUUUUAUUAACCUUUUCUUCUUUAUUCUUUUUUGUUUUUCUUUUCUUUCUUAUCAAGGAAUCCAGAUUUUUUUGAAUUGGGUAUAUGUUUACUCCCCUUCACAAACUAAUAUCAAAAGUGAGCUUUCAACUCCUAUUAGCUUUGAUGAUAUGAGACUCAACUUCCAAGUUUAAUCAAAGUACACAAAUCUGAUUGAACAUUCAUAGGAUUGCAGUUGAAAAUUAAGUGAGAAAAUGGUAACUGUAAAGAAAAACCCAAUAUCGAUUAAUUCUAUAAUGAAAUCUUAUUACAAUUAAUUACACUACUUUUUGUUACGAGUAGGUAAAAGUGGCGAGAAAUACUGGAAGGAGGAUUGGUUUUUGAAACUCUUUAAUAUAUACAUGAUAACAUAGUUUCAGGAGAAUAUAUCCAGUGGAUAGAUUACACAUAUUAAUGCUUUUUAUAGUUAAUUUUCCUUAAAUGGAAAAAAAAUUAAAUGAAUUGUUAAAAAGAAUUAGCUGAUUCAACAAAAAAAAAAAAAAAAAAAUUGAGCAGCCAGUUUCUAAGGGCUAGCUAGCUCUCAUGUGGUCUAUGGAUUAAAGCACAUAUAUGCUAAUGAGCUGAAAAAUGUUAAUAUUUACACUCGUUAGUAGUAGCGGUGAGCAGGAAGGCCAAAAAACCCAAACGACUAACCGAAGUUUUUGGUCAGAGGAAGGGCAAACUGCUGUGGGUUUCGAUUUUUAGCAACAAUGGUUGGUUUCGUCGCCCUUUGUCCGGUCGGACAGGUUCGAGUAACCGUGCUUGCGCGAAUAAAGGAAAUAAUUUUUAUUACUUGUUCCAUCUUUUUUGGUAAAUAUUUUUAGUUCCCCAUAGGUAUCUUCCACCAUACAUGUGUUCGGUCCACAUCAAUCCAACUUUUUUUGCUCGGACGUUCGUUGGUCACCUACAGUUUCCGUUCUGCACACUCUUCCUUCUGUCCAUCAUCCUUUUCAGAUUCUAGUUGGAGUUCCUCUCCUAUAAUUAAUUGAGCCCAAUUUCUCAUUUGUUUCAUAACAAGAAAAUAAACACAAUCUUUGUUCCAUCCCAAUUCUCUUCCUCUUCCCACUUCCACUUCACUCAAUUUUGAGCUUCCGGUUCUUGUUUUUAUUUCUUGUUCCGCCGACGAGUACACGUUAGAACAUAAAAGUUGUAUUAACCUUGGAAGCAACCGACAACACAGUUAGCAGUUUAGCACUACGGUCGGUCGAAAUUUUUUUCAUUGCAGUGGUUCGUCACGACUCAUCAAUUCACUUUUGUUCAACAUUCUGAUAUAUAUAAAUAUUUCAACACCGCUUCCUCUUCUUUCUCUCUUCCAAGUCUCGACAUCCUCGAAUCUCCGACAGAGUAAGUUCUAUGUAUAAAAUAAGGUUGCUUGUUGUGUUGUUAGAGAGAGAUUGGUUUGAUUUCGAUGUUGAGAAAACCAACUGACCGAUCUACGAUUUUGUUGGGAGCAGUCAGGAUUGGUUUCGCCAUUUCCAUAUGACUUGUGGUCGGUCGGAGUCGGUUUGAUCGAAAAACCAAUUUCGACUAACCGUUGAUCACCCUUAUCCAUUAGAUCCUUAGGUUAAUUAGAACAAUAGCCCAGAAUUGUUUGAAAUGAGUCAAAAUGAGUAUCUAAGAAACUAUUUAAGAAAUUAGAGCAAUUUUCUUAAUCGAUUAGCUGGAUGCAUUAUUUGUUAAAAAAUACAUUAAUUAACGAAUUGUUCAAGAAAAGAACAUUAAAAAAGUAAGUAAAGUUUUAGUGUGUAAAACUUAACAAUUAAGUAUUCAAUUUAUUUAGAUGUUGUGUAUGCAGCACUGCUUACAGAAAAUGUUAGUGUGGUAUUAUCGCCACAAAGAUCAUUGCAGCCAUCCAAUCAUAUAAUUUGUUGUAUAAUAAUUUCUUACUACAUCUUUUUAAAUCGUUAUUUUUUUAUGAUUGUAAGAUCAACGAGAUAGAUUUAAAUUAAAAAUAAAUAAAUAAAUAAACAACUAAUACUUGUAUAAAUGGUGAUGCAUGGUAUUUAUUCUCCAAUUGAAAAAUGUUAUAUCAACAAUUAUGACAGGAUUACACAUUAGAUAAUUAUUCCAUUAUAUCCCCAAUUUAAAAAUUGCCACAUGUGAUACUCUUCUAGUCUUAUAAGAUAUGAAGGAACAAAUUCUCAUUAUCAUUAUGUUGUGUGCUUGUAAUAUGAAUUGAUAAACCAUAGGUUCAAUGUUUACUCCAGGAUCUUACUAUUGAUCACAAUACAAUGAUUUAUGUUGGGUGUACUCAAUCUUAUCAAGUUUGCUUUUUUCAAAUUUGCAUUUAGUUUGUGCUAACCCUGUGCAAGAACAUUUACGUUUAUCUAGUGUCGAAUCUCAAUACACUUCAUAGCCUCCAUUAGUACACCAUGUGUUGAGUUUAUCUGAACUCACAAAAUAUUAUUACUUAUCCCUCAAGAUGGUAGUAUGGGACUAUUUACAAAAUCUGUAUGAUCUAAUAUUCGCUUGGGGCAUGUGCUUAUAAUAUUUGUGGUAUUAGCCUAUUGUACCCAAUCGGAGCAGGAAUCUUCACGAUGAUGCUCCUCAACCGAAAUAAGUUAAAAUUCAAACCAAACCCCAAAUCUAUGGGUAAUUUAAUCAAAGUCAACCCAUAAUCGUAGAAACCAAAGGUUUAACGAAAACCACAAUACAAUCUCAUACUGUCUUAAACACUGUUGGGCGAUACCCUGACGGGCGGCGACCACACGGUAGCAAAGCUUGCGAUGGAGAACUUUGUUCAUGGGUGAGACUUGGCAGAAAAGAGAUCUGAGGAGAGAGAGGAAAUGAGAAGAAGAUGGUGAAUGAGAAAAAGAGAAACAUCCAUGACGUACGGCGACGUCUAUGAGGAUAAGGAGGAGGAGAGGGGGAUGACGACACUGAAGACCGAACUAUAGUUAGGUUAACUUUUGGCUUUUUUUCUUUUUACUAUUAUUUUCUCUUAAUUUUAACUCACAAAAUUUAUUUAAUAAACAAAUAUAUAUCUUCAUUUAACUUAGAUUAUCUUUUCCAUUUUUUUAAAAAAAUAAUUUGAAAACUAAAAAUAUUUUAAUUCAUUCUCCUAUAAAUCUAAUUUAUUAGAUAUCAAAAUUAAAAUUAGAGGAAAAACGAAACCUAAAACUUUUGUUUAUAGCAGAAAAUAGUGCAGCUUCAGUUUAUAUGAAAAGUGUGAAAGAUAUAUUCAACAAUCUCUUGCUUAUAAAAGAAACAAUAUUUUAUGUAAUUUAAAAACCACAUAAAUUUAUGGGCUAAAUCUCAUAACUUUCUAUUUCAAUUACAAAAGUUUAAAUUGAUAUACUAAUAUGUUUUUAGAUAAAAAGCAAUAAACAAUCAAUAUAUAUCUGAAUGAAGUAGAAUUAUUUAAGAUAAAAUAAAAUCUAUAGAUCUCUUAUAAAUUAAAAUCAAAAUGAUGUGAAAGGUGGUUAAAUAAUUUUUUUAUAAAAAAAAGCGACUAAAUCAAAUAUUUUCAAGAAGUGUUGAAACAAAUCAAAUCUAGUGUAAAACCAUCAAUUCUAAUACCAUGAGAAAAUUUUGGCACAUUUUUUUCCUAUAUUUGUUAGAUUGCAAUCUCAUGAUGAAAAAGAAUGCAUUGUAUUCUAAUAAUUUGUAUAUUAUUAAAAUAGAGCCGUGGCACACUUUUGCCAAAAAAAAAAAGAAAAAACUUAUUAACCUAUCAUUUCACCAAAACUCAAAAUUAUUUUAUCUAAAUGAAAAUUUAGCGAAACGUGAACAUAAUAAUUUUUUUAGCAAAAUAUUGACAAACGCAUUUAUAAUCUAAAUACAAUACCUAAUCAUCGUCAACUACUCUCUCAACAAGGUCAUUUCACUCUAGGUGGUUGUCAAUAACCUAGUUAAGUAUGUACAAAUUCCUAUCAUCCACUCUUUUUGCGCAGAAAAUUGAAGGAUCAAUAAAAAAAUGGUACACUUUCACACGCUCAAACCAAAAGAGAAAGGCAAAUUCAGCAAUGCCAAAUGCUAGGGUUGAAGGGGUUUUUAUGGGUUUUUUGAUUGAAUCUAUCCGAACAUAAUACCCAAAAUUUUCAAGGAAGUAGAUCUUUGUCAUCUUGACUUUGUUCUAUCUUUUAGUUUUUUUAGUCAUUGAAAAUGUACACAAACCGUGACCUAAGAUACUAACAGUGUAUAUCAUAUGUCAUAUUAUAUAUCACAUAUUACACAAUAUAAAUGAAAUAACAUCAUAAAUAUCUCAUAUACAUCCUCCUUUGCAACCCUUUUUUUACACUUUUCUUUUCCACUCUAACUUUCUGAUACAUAAUAAAAUGUCAAUAUCAUUUAAUAAUGUAAAUUAUAAUUUGGUGUAUGUAUGAAACGGUAUAUGUAUAAUAAAUAACAUGCCUUUUUGGUUUCUAUGUCUUUUCUAUCUUCUUCAAACUUCUCCUCACUUCUUUCCCCCUGUUUUGUUCUUCUCCUUCUUCCACUACUUUUUUCUUCAGACUUUUUAUUCCUUUUUAUUAUAUUUUUCCUUCCACUUAGAUUGAUUUAUUUUUCUUUUGCCCUUUCUAAUUUAUUUGUAUGAUUUUUUUAGCAAUUGGUACAUUAUUUUGUACAAUAUCAUUUAAAAUAUACCUCACAAACAUACAAUCCAAAAUAAAUUUGGUGCGAAAAUAAUAUACUUCAUUAGAGUCGGAUCUUUCCUCACAAAAUGUACGUCAAUAGUUUUAGAUCCAUCAUUUUUCUACAAAAUAAAAUGUUUUCUUAAUAUAUACCUCAUAUCAUAACAUAAUAACUACAUAUAUUAUGAUAUAUACAAAUUAACAUACCUCUUUACCAUGUCUAGGCAUUUUAGGCAUUUUUUCUCAGAUGUUUCUAGAACUAUCUGUUUUCACUACUCUAUUCUCAUCGUAUAGAACUAUUUGUGUUCCAUUUGGUCCGCUUAAAUCAUAGUCAUUAUCACCUGAAAACACUGACGGUAGAAGUUUGUAGUCCCUUAGUUCUUGCACAUAACUCACUCUAUAAUCUUGAGAGUUAGAAGAGCUUAUUAUUUUCAUCAUAGGUAAUAUAUACGAAUACGAUAUAAUUAUAAUUCAUAUAUCUCUGCAACAAAUAAUAUACCUAUGCCUCAUCAAUACAAAAACAACUUACAACACAAAAUAUAACAUAUACAUCUCCAUCAUCAAUAAUUAUCAGAUCAUCCUUGUUUGAUUUGAUCUUCCUAGUCCUUGAUCCAAAAAAGUUUUUACUUCUUCAAACCAUUUUCUUCACUGUAUAUUAUGAUCGAUUUUACUUUAACAUAUGUAAAUAUGAAUGCAUGUUUAUUUAACACAUCAUAUAUAAAUCUAAACCCUAAAUAAAAUACUACAUGUUUCAAAUAUACUAAGCGAUUUUUAUCUUCAUUAGUGUGAGACGAAGUUAUCUUCAACGGCUGAAAUUUGGUACUUUAAAACUGAAGAAACCCUAAUUUUUUCGCAUUUACAAUCUACAUAAACAUUUUUUGCGAUUAAUUAACAUAUUAUUUGAAUAUUUCCAAUAUACUCAAUAUACCCUAAUCUAUUUCUGAUACGAAAUGUACAUUCUUACUAACCUGAAAUUUCUCCCAAAAAUGUGUCGAAAGUUCACUGAUUCACUUGGCCAUCGAGAUUGUUCUUCUUCAUCGUCAAGAUUUCACCAAAUCUUCUACUAGAUGAAAUAUUUUGUGAAUAGAAUGGAAGGAGUAGAGUGUCAUUGUCGAAGAAAGAAACUUUCUUGUGCUUUUCCGAAUUUCCUAAACUGUAAUCCACGUCCCUGAUUUUUCUUGUUGUCGGUCCACAUUUCUAUUUAUUAUUAUUAUUCUUUUAAAUCAAAUUAAUAAUACAUAUGGAUACAUUUGUCAAUUAGGCCCUAUAUUUUUCUAAAAUAUAAGCCGUUUAGGAUUUUGUGUGAAAAUUAUAGGAAAAUUUGGCCAACCAUGUAGUAUGGUAAACUAUUUUAAGGCUUUCUUAGUUAAAGCCCCAAAAGUAAAUGGUAAUUGGGCUAAUAGGCCAUUUGAGAAUGACCCAAAGCCCAUAACAGAUCUGUCAAAGAGGCCAUUGAAUUGGGCGUCGGUUCCGGUUCGAAUCAUAGGACCGUGAAUUGACCUCAUUGGUGGUGCAGCGAUUCGAAGGUGAAACUACGACGUUUACGACCUCUACUUCGUUGGUGGAGCUUCAGAUCUCGUGGAUCUCCUCGUAAUCAGUGACCAGUUAAUUCUUGAUGAUGGAGGAAAGUAAAUCCGCUUCGGACUGUGGCUGUUCCAAUCGGAGUUUCAUACUUCCCAUAACUCAGCUUCAGGUAAUUUCAUUUCGUCUUCGUUCUACAAUUUUAAUUCUCUUAUUAAUUACUUCCCUUGUUUGGUUCUGUGUACGCGCUGGCCAAAGAGACAAAACUCCAUUAAUUCAUCUCUUGAAAUUAAUGUUACUGUGUAUGAACAAAUUGCAGUUCACAACAAACGUCGAUCUCAACCUAGAUCAAUUACUUCUAGUUUAUAUACAGAAAGUCGUCUAGAAAUUGAUGUUAGUUACGCAAUACUUAGAGUCGGUGGCUUUAAUUUUUCAGGUUCCAUGAUAAAUAUAAUCAAUUGAAGAUUUGGGUAGUGUUUUGCUUGAUGUGAAGACGGUAUUACAUAUUCAAGGAAAUUGGUUGGGAACAUGAAACUCUGAUCCUCCUUUUUACCCUGCAUUUUAACAUGCAUAGUGUGGAAGAGAGGAAAUAAAGAUCGUUGCAGCUUAAUGAACCACAGAAGAUGAAGAGGAGCUUCAUUCUAAAGAACCCAAUUGCCUUCGUUUUUAUGAUCCUCUCUCUUUGUUGCGUACUUAUUGUACUCAUUACAACACUAAGACUUCCAGAGCUAACUGUAGGAGUUAAGGCUGGAGCCAGGGAUAAGGUUUCAUUGAUUAGAAAGGUUCUAAAAGAUGAUGAGUUGGGCAAGUUUGGAGAAAUGAUGAUCGAAAUGUUGCCUGAGGAUCUUGCUUUUACUGUUUUUAUUCCUUCGGAGAAGGCUUUCGAGCGUGAAUUGAGUUUACGAGUGAAUGAAAGUUUCACAAGUACUGAGAAGAUGGACGACACCUACGCCGUGAUUUCUAGAAUAUUAGGUUUCUCUGCUGUUCCUCGAACUAUUUAUUCGACGUUGGUAGAUUACGGGAGUGAGAUUAUAUAUGAUGCUGUUUCUGGAUUCACGUUGAACAUUUCCAAGGACAGAAAUGGGAGGCUUGUUGUUAAUGGGGUAAGGUCUGAAAUGGUGGAUUUAAAGAAGAAGGAUGUUCUUGUGCAUAUAAUGGAUGGUGUUAUAAUGGAUGCUUCGUUUGAGCAAUCAGUAAAACCUGAUGACAAUGAAGAUUAAACCUUUGAAAAGCAGCUGUUUAUUAUUAUCCAUGUUACCUUAUAGACCCGAACCUGGGUGAUCUAACCAUGAUUAGAAUGAAGCUUGUGUGAAACUAAGUGAAGAUCCAAACCAACUCAAACCCAGAGCUAACUGGUUUUUCUUGAAAGAUUGUUCAUUUUUUGAGGUCUCAAAACGGGACGUAGAAACACAUAAAAACUUGGAAAUGGAAAUUUUAUUAUUAUCCUUGUUAACAAAACAUUCUAAGCCAUUUACUUCCAUAGUAACAGAGUGGUCGAUGACGAAACAAGUAAGUUAUUUUUAACCGAACAUAAUAUUCUUCGUACAGUAAUGUGGAGCAAUAGAUUCUUAUCCUCAAAUAACUAUUGGCUCUUCUUUUCAAAGAAUUAUUGUCAUAUAGUUUAGCUUAUACCUAUGAGUUCGAUUUUAAUGUUUAAUAAUUUUUUAACUGCAAUUUGGUUCAUAAAUUACUAUCAAUUUCUUGUUAAAUCAUCUCAACAGACCCAAAAGUUUAAUAUGUUAUAUUCAUAUUGGUUCUUUUGCAUGUAGAAGGGAGGAAAUAUAUAACAGGAGGUAGAUCGUGUAAUGUCAUUGUUUAAUUUGCAGUAUAUUAUACCUAUAUAUAUGUGUGUGUGUGUGUGUGUGUGUAUUAUUUGAGGAAACCAAUAAGAUAAAUUAGGAUAACAUAUUGAAGGGGGGGAAAUGGAAUCGAAUUGAAUAAUAAGGAAGCAAAACCAAGGAGUGACAAAUAUUUGGACAAAAAUAGUUUGAAAAUUUUAUGAAUUCCGAAGCAUUGAAUCCACACAUUGGUUUCUCGUGAUAAAGGCCAAUUUGAAUUUCCCAAUUUCCAACAUUCACUGAUUAACAAUAAAUCUACGUGUCUUGAGCAUGCACUUGAGAAUGUCGAAGUUUUUUUUUUUUAGUCCUUCCUCUCCAGAAAUAAAACACAUAGAAUAAGAUAAAAUUUAAAUUAGUUAAAGCCUUAACUUGCUACAAUACAAUAACCUUAGAAUUCAAUGAUAAUCUCCAUAAGUUUUGAACACUACGUCUACUACUGAUGAUGAAUCUGGUGAUCUACAGAAAGCUUAAACGAAGAUCCAAUGGUGGAUGAUCCAUUUUUGUCUCUAUUUUGUAGGUGAAAGCCGUUGCAUCCUCAUACUGCUUCCCAUUUACUCUAUACUGAUGAUGAUCCUCUGGUAAUCCUUGUGUUUCAUCAAUGGUAGAAUUUAAUGGAAAAAGUUGAAGAGUUUUCAUCAUUCUUUCUGGCUCCAACUGAUCCAUUAUACCUUUAUUCGUCAUUGACUGAUCUGCAAAAUCUGCUCAAACCGGAAAACCAAAUCAGUGAAACAAUUAAAACACUCCUUCGAGCUUUGUCAUAUAAUAGAGUGAGCCAGUUUGAAACGACUUUUUAAGUGCUUAUAAGCGCAGUUAGAAAGUGAGGUCAAAUGAAUUGAGGUAUAAAAAGGAGGUGAAAAACAAACAUACGUUGAAGGUUAGAAGAAGGUGGAAGAAUGAAAUGUUGUUGUUGAGGAAGAGAAAGUUUGCGACGCUUCUGUCGCUCACGUGCUUUAUGAUUCUGAAACCAGUAAAACACAUUCUUGCUCUCAAUCUUGCCGUAAAAGCUGAGAUGAUGAGAGAUUUUCUGAAUCUGAUCACUACUCGGAGUUCUAAGCCCUGACCUGAACAGUUCUGUCAGUACUUUUACUUGUUCUGCUGUUGGAUUCCAUCUUCCACAUUUGCUACUCCCACUCCCUUUUCCGCCUCCACCACCGCUCUCUCCGCUGCAUCCUCCUCCCCCUUUUACAUAUAUUCUAGAACAAACCCCAUCUUCCAUAUUUUUAUUGUUCUUCUUCAACAACACCAAUGCUCUUUCUUCCCCCUGAAACUGAAACUGAAACUUCUCUUCUCAGAAACAAAGCCUUGUGCAAGUCAGAAAAAGUACACUCUGCUCCCUCUUUAAAACAAUACUUUUAUAUAUAUAUAUAUAUAUAUAUAGUUCAGGUGGCGAAUGUAAUUUAUAAUUCUGUGGUCCUUUCUUAUCAAUUAUGUCCAUAAUAUUUAUGAAUUAUAUAAUAUAAGAUCCAAUAACAUUACACCAAUAUUUAUGAAAAUAUAUAUUGUCUAUAUAUACUACUCUACUUUCUUCUAGUGCCACUGUUUACUAUCGUGUACAUCUCUUUAUAAACUUGCAGCCAACAAAAAUGUCAUGAUAGAAUGUAACCAAAAGGUUGGGGCGAAUGCAAAUAUAGCGGUAAGACGUAAAUUACUUGUAGGUAUGACACAAUAUAUGAAAAUUUCUUUAUGAAUCUAUUGGUGAUAUAUCAUACUAGAAGUCUAUCAACGUUGUUUUAAAAUGUAAGAAAAAUGGAUGGAGGAUAUUAUGUUAGAAGUUGUAAGUUAAAAUUUUGAUAAGUUUAGUUGUUAAUUGUUGGAUUGUAUGUUUAUGUUUGUUUGUGUUAUGAAUAAGGAUGCUUUGAAUUUAGGGAAAGAAAGAGAUUAGAUUGAAGUGAAUUAGUUUGAUUUAUUUAUGGAAAUGAGGGAAAAUGGAGAGAGGAGACAUGCGCAAAAGCUGCCACUGGUGAAAAAUUUGGGUGACCGAGCAGACAAAGAUGCAAGUUUCAUUGAUUGUGAGAUCACUUAAUAUUAAUAUAAUUGGGAUUUUGAGUCUCAUGGAUCAAACUCCUAUUUUUCACGUAUUUGAAUGCAUUUUUUUAUUAGCUUUGGUGUUUUUCAGUAAGGCAUGCACUUACUCUUGUCCUAACAAAACUAUUCCCACAUAAUUUAAAACACCAAUAUUUCAAUAUUUAAGUACUCUCUUCAUAUGCCUAGUAGUAGUACCUACCUAGCUGUGAUCUAACUUUAAACUCUAAACCAAUAUUGAUACUAAUUCACAUAAUUUUGGUUAUAAUUCAAGGAAAGAUUUAAUUAAAUGGAAUUUUAUGUCUUCAUGGUCUCCAUUUUGCAGUUGCAACUUUCUUUAAUUUGCCCUAAAUUAUAAAAAUAAUUAAGUUUUAUCCUCUGCCCUUGUAUGUUAAUUAUAUAUAUUAAACUCUAGUUUGUUUUAAAUUACUAGGGUUUUCUUCCUUCUUUCAUUGUGCUUGCAUUCAUUUCAACUAAUCUAUUAUGCAUAAUAGUUUCUCUAAUAUGUUAGGGCUCUUUCUCUCAACAUUCUCUCACGUUUGCGACGCUCCCCUUUGCUCGUUUCACUUAUAAUAUUUCUUAGUCUCUCAUGACUCAUAGUGACACUUACUUCUCUAAACCCACAUGAAUAGUGCAUAACCAACACACUCUAAUAGGCGGUAAUUAAUUAUUUAUUUUGAAAAUAAUGUAAGACAAGGGCUACUAGAAAUGUGAAAAAUUGGGUGAUGUUUACAAAGAAGUCCAUUUAAAUGGUGGGUAUCAUUACAAAAUGAAAUGGAGGAGAGAAAUGAGGGAGUAUGUAAUGAAAAGUCAAAGUAAAUAAGAGGAUUGUCUGAAUGUGUGUUGGAGGGUUGUGAUUAAAAAGAGACUGACAAAGAUACUAAGUUGACCAAAAGUAGAAGGUUUGGCCAAAAGGAUGUAUGAAAAUUUGGGUGUGGGAUUUUAAAUUAAUCAGAAAAAAAAAAAAAAAAAAAAAAAAAAAGAGAUCAGUGGGAACAUAAGCAUAGAGACAACAAAAGCCACCAAUGUUCUUUUUCUUUUUUUCUUUUGGAAAAUAAAAGGCCACCAAUGUUACGAAAAAGAGGAUAUUAACUAUUAAUAUUUAGUUUGGAUUUUACUUUGUCAUAAGCCUCUUGUCUUAACUCAAAUGACUCUUUGUUCUACAAAGCUCAAUUUCAAUGAACAUGCCUUUGUCUUCAAGGUCUUGUCAUUAUUUUGACCUAAUUUAUUACAAAAUUUUGAGCACUUCUAUCAUAAUUAAUUAUUUGUUUUUUACACUUUUAAUUUGUUUUGUUUUGUCUUUUUAGUCUAACUAUAUUUAGAACAAGUUGCACAUGAAAAUCUAUUAUUGUAUUCAUUAUUUUACACACCUUCAUAUUCUAACAUGUGAUUCAAAAGCUAGCAUUGUAAUUUUUUUUAAUUAAAAAAAUGUAUUACAACCAUUUUGAUUUUGUCUAUUUUCUUUUUCAAUACUAUAAAUAUACAUAUAUUGCUUUGUAAAACAUAAGAAAAUUAAAUCAAUUUAUUUGUACUAGAAAGAAUCAUAAAUAAUUGUAAAGGAAUACUCACAAAUUCACACAUUACAAGAACAACAUACACAACACAGAGAGUACAUCAAAUUAACAAAACAUAUAUUUGUUUGUUAAUUUUAUUUUUAAUUAAACUUACAAAUGAUGAAAUUUUGAAAAUUAUAUAUAAACAAUUAUUAAAAAAGAAAAGAAAGGGAAAAAAAAAAAAAAACAUUCACAGUCUUCCAGGAUUGGAUUUAUGUUUUUGAAAAGCAACAAAAAGAAUGAAGAGAAAAUGAAUUUCCAAAUCCAUACAUCGCUAAAAGUGCCAUUAAAAUGGUCCUAUCUUCUUGUCUACAUUACACCAUACAAAACCCCAAAAACAAAAUUUUCUUUUCUAUUAUUAUUAUAUGAGAUUAUCAUUCCAGUAAAAAAGUAAAAAAGAGAUCACGUAAAAUAUGGAAAGGUGAAUUUGUUGCAUGCGAGGAGGCAUGUUUUUACCUAUUUUUCGAUUACCUCAUCAGUUUGUAUCUUAAUUAUCUUUUGAUCCUUUAAAAUUAGGCUUAUAAACACUACUUUCUUUUAUUUACUUGUUUCAUUAUCGACUAUUUAAGAACUCAAGAAAAGUUGUGUGGGAGAUACAUUAUUAUUGUUGAAGAGUAGUAUUAGUGUUUUUCGUUUGUUAUCAUCUUUUGAGUUAGAAUGAACACAAAUGAAAAUCAAACAUUAAUUGACUUUAAUUAACAAAGAUAAUAAAAAUCUCAAGUAAGAAUAUAUCAUGUACAUGUCAAUUUUUUCAUACAAAAGUAAUUAAAUUCUUUUCUUUUUGUUGGAGUACAACAAUUACAACGUGGAACAUCAAACCUCUAACUUCUAGACUGAAAGAACGUGUGAGGUACGGUUGAGUUAAUUUCAGUCGAAGUUAAUUAUAUUUGUUUUGGUAAAAUAAGGAGGAGAGAAUAUCAAAGGUUAUGAUUCCAAGAAAAGAAAAAACAAUUAGAUAUAGAGAAGGGUGGUCUUUUUGUAUUUGUUUAGAGUGAUGGGAUGUUAAAAUAAGAGAGAAUAAUGAAGUUUGGGAGAGUGGAAAUAGAAAGAGUAUUAAUUGGGGGAUUAUGUUAAUCAGUGAGAUUCGAGAAAGGCUUAAGCUGGAAAUUAGGGCACGCCUCUAAUUACUUUACUGACUACUCCCCACUACAACCCCCUCUAUUCUUCCUUUUUUCUUCAACUUAUUAUUGUACUGCUUUUGUAAAUAUAUAUAAUUUUACUUCAAUUACUAGUUUAAGGUUUAUGAUCCAUUUUCUUUAUGCUUCCAUGAAUUCACUUUUUAGAUUUUAAGUUUUCUUUCUUUACUUUGCUUAUAUGUUAUUUUCAACUGCACUGUGUUUUUUCUAUCUUCAAAGUAUUCUUUUUUGCUUCUUUUUCUAUCAUGAUUUCACUUUUAUAUUAUUUGGAGGUGGUUUUUCUUCUAAAGUCCUACUUUUAGAAAUUAAUCAGCCUAACUUUUAUAUCUAAUAGAUUUUCUAUUACAUACAUUCAUAUAUAUAUAUAGAAAGGACCUUAAACUAUUAUUCAUGAGGACGACCUAACUGCCAAUAUUAUAGUAUAGUUCUAAAAUAUGAUUAAUUAAGAAAAAAAAGAGAGAGAAAUGUGAAUUAGUUGAGUGGGGGAUGGGGGAGUGGAGAAGUGAUUUGAGAAACAUGGAAUUGUAAAUUAGGGAGACAAAAAGAAAGCAAUAAACCCACUAAUGAUUUCUAAGACGACAACGUUUAAUUAAAUCAGGAAAAGCAAACCCAUAAUCCUCAUUGUUCUCUUCUGAUCUUACAUAUUAUUAUUAUAACUCUUCUUUUUCUUUUUCUUUUUGUCACAAAGGAAUCACAGUUAUCUAAUUAAUCAUACGCUUCCACAUGUGUCAUUUUGUCUUCCCACAAACUUUUUAGGGUUAAUAAGUUCGCUUACAAGGAACAUGAGUACGCACAAAAUCGUGUAUAGGUACAUGAUAUUGCCUUUUUUUUGUUGUUCAUAGAAAAAUAAACCAUGUAAUAGUAGUUUAAAUAAAAGUACGUUGAAAGUUAAAAAUAUAUCAUUACACUUAAAUAAAUAAAGAUCAUGUGUCACACAGUGGUCGUCUUCAGUCAAGCCUCCUACGUUGAGGUAAAGUGUUGUUGGCAAUGAAUUACAUAAUCAAUAGCUUGUUGGGGUUGUCACAAACACAACGUCAUUGUGGGCAUAUAUUAUAGUAGUGUUAAUAUUACUCUCUUGUUAAUGACCAUAAUUUGGUGCAAAAUGCCUGCUUAAACUUCCAGUAAGCGUUCAAGAGAAAGUCAAACUCCAAAUCAUUAAUUAACUAUGUGAGAUCCAUCUAUUGGUAAUUCAAAUUGAACUGUAUCAUCUUAUACAUGAACAUAAAAAUCAACUUAAACAGUAUUUUAAAUUUCAGUAUUAUAAAGUAAAAAUCAGGAUAUGAAUGAUCAUGUGUCAAUUCUUAGUACAAACAUGAGUGUUUCUUUUCAAGUUUAGUAGUUCCAAAUAAUCUAAAGUCAUAAUCAUGUUGUGAAUGAUUAAUGUGCCAAUCUCAAUAAAACAAGAGUAUUUUCCUUCAAGUUUAACAAUUUCAAACAGCCUAUAGAUUUUACUUUGAUAAGCACGCAACCUGUAAACACAACUAGCAUUUUACUAUUUGCAUUCACGUACCAAAUAUCUUUGUUUGAUUUCAAUGGCGGUUUGUCAUAUGUUCCUACUCCCUGUGAUAAUGGCCCUCUCUACUCAAGAAUACGCUCGAAAAGACGAUGAUAAGUAAGAAGAAAAUAAAAGUCUUGAGAAGUACUUCACUUGGUCUUUUUAAAGUUGUUCUUUUCCUUCUUCCUCACUACGUUUCACUUAACAGAGUUGAGAAAAGUCAUCUUCAUAUUCCUACUAAAAAAAAAUUCUGAAAUGAUUGUAUUCCUUUACUGAACGAAAGGAACAGUUCCCAUACUUGUUUGUGGUUGAAAGAGUCGAUCUUGAAAAUCAAAGUAUUGAUAGAAAUAUUGUGGGUUUGAAUCUCUCUCCAUCCGCAAAGUCAUGAGUUCUCUGUUGCGCUAUUGAGAGAUAAGAAUGAAUCAAGAUCAACUCGACUAGAGAAGCAUGUUUAUACAAAUACUCCUCUAUGUGAAUGUUGUGGCUUUCAAAAGACGUGUAAAGGACGGGGAGGGAAAGGAAGUUUUGGGAACAAAGCCCAGGGAUUCCAAAGUUAACCUCUACCCUCACUUUUUACCUAUCUAAAGGAAGUGCAACUUGAUUAUCUGGCGACAUCACCAUGGAGGCAAAAAUCAGGUCGAUAAUUCGAUUUUAUUUCCUCGGAUCGUCGGCUUGUUGUGAUUGGAAUUCGUCUUUUCUUUUUAUCAUGCAUUGAGACACCUGAAGAGUCGACCAUAUGUACCUUGCCUCAAGAGACCCGACCUAUUCAAAUUGAUCAAAAUGGUUGUACUACAUGUGUAUUGGAUUUAUUGGUUUAAAUUAACUACGAUCCGCUACUUCAACUUGCCAUUUCUUUUCAAACCAAAAGAAGUACAUCACUUCAUGAAGUGAUCACUUGUAAAGAAGUAGUUAGAGCUAGGCUCCGAACUGAAAGUUCGCUUUUCUUUCAUUUUCUACCAGCGAUCUGACCCCUUAUUUGAUCAGACUGCUCAUGGUCUACGAACUAGUCAUUAAUGGUCGACUUCUUUGAUAUCUUUUCAGUAUGCAUUCCGAGCAUUUUCAUUUUAGCGUAUCAUCCUCUCUAGAGAAGCUCAACUUGAACAUCUCGAGUAGAAUGGUCCAACUAAAUAACUUUUUCUUUUUCAUUACUUCCAUGGUCAUGACUCAUGGCACACUCGUCCUAUUGAAAUGGUUUGUCAAGUAGGGACCCUUCUUCCAAUGCUACUAUAAUUCCUAUUUCUAUCUCUUUGUUCCCUCUUUUCGUCUAUCUACCUGGGAAAUCCAUAUGCUCUAUGGACAGAGCAAAAAGUGGAGUCUUGGUCAGAGCAAGUCGCCCUUGGUCUAUUACCGCAUUUGAAAAACAAUCCAAAUAUUGUAAAAUUUGUGAGAGUUUAUAAUUGAAAGACUAUAUUGCACAUAUUCAUUUAUCACUCAAAAACUUUACUAUAUUUACAAAUUUUUAAAAAUAAUGUUGAUAUACACUUGAUUAUUAUCCCUAAAAUUGUUACUAACUAUAAUUAUUCAUAAUAUUUACAAUCACUCCAAAAAUUAAUCCAUUGCCCAACCAUCCAAAUAACAUUCCCAAAAUCAGUCUAAAAGUAAUCCAAUUUAUGAUAAAAAUGCUCAAAUUCUUACCAUAAUUUACAUUUUAAAAAACAAAGAUUACUAGCAAAACUCCCAUGAAAAAAACAGAACUAAGUUUUUAAAAAUUAGUUGCUUUUGUUUAACAUUUUUGGCUUAGUUUUUUUUUAAAAUUUUAUGCUCUUAGUCUUUACUUGGCAUUGUUUCAAGAAAGGUGGGACGAUAGGAUAGACUAGUUGAUUAAUUUAUCUAAUUCUUAUAAAAAUAAGAAUAAAUCAUUUUAUUCCAUGAAUAAGAAUACUAACGAUAAACUUAUAUUUUUAUAUAUAUAUAUAUAUGAUAUACAAGGAUUAAAAUAUCCAUAAAUAUUUACAACUUGUAUUGAAGGAUAAAUGAAUGAGUAUUUAGAUAUUUUUGGAAAAACCAUGGAUAUCACAAAAAUGUAUAAAAAUCUUGUCAAUUUCUCUUGAAAUUUGAGAAGUAGUUUGUUCAAGUAAUAAACUAUGACUUUAAUUUAUAAAUAGCCAAAUAUGAUUGAUAAUGGAAUUAUAGACGAAAAGAUGGAUAUGAACUAAAUAUUUUGAUAAAGGUUAGGUCAAACAAAGUGAAGGUCCAAUAUAAUAUUCAAUGGUAAAAAGAUGAUCUAGGAGGUACUAGCCUAGUUAGUGUCACGCCCCCACCUGAAACGCUUUCUCCCUCCUUGCCUUCUGGGUGCAAACUCAACCAGCACCUCGAAACGAAACGCCAGAACGUCCAGUCUUAAACUUUAAAAACUUCUUAAUAACAAUAUUUUAAACUUCAAAAUAACUAAACAACUUUAUUAUUAUCUUUAAGCAACUUGGUACACAUACAAAGCUUGACUUUAAAGAAAGCUAAAACUAAAGCUUCGAGCUCUCAACGCCUACAAACAGCUCCUAAGGCAUGUCUUAAUGCCUGGCUUACAACAACUCGCCUUUUCUUAAUGGUCUUAGCGCCUCACUUACCUGGAGAAUGGAAACUUAAAACAUAAACCUAACGAUUACUGAGCGACAUUGAGAACCUUUGGAAAAUACAAGUACAUGUUCAAAUUUAUUUUGCAAGUUCAAUAUCACAACAUCUCAUCAUGGGUUAAAAGCAAUAAAUACCACAUUAGCCUCUACUUAUUCCUUUCGCCAGAACAUUGAACCACCCUCACACAUAGACAACUGUGAUGACACGGAUCAUCAACAGCAUCCCUGGAGAUUGCAUAUUCAACUAUCGUUGCUCAGGCGAUCAGCUUGAAUGAGGACGUCUUAGUGCAUUCAAACAUUCUCUUCGCCAUGUGGACCUUUUCCAACACAUUGUUGCCUUGACUCUUAUGUGCGGAUUACCUACAUCAAGCAUAUUAUACGAGCAUCAUAAAAUGAAAUACUUUGACUUCAAAACAUACUUUCAAAUAGUUAUGCUCUUCAUAUAAAUCAUAAAUUUGAUUACAACAUGUAAUAUACUUUGCAUCAAACUUUUAGAAAACUUUGUUCUCUCUUUAGAAGGGCCACUCACAAAAGUUUACGUUUUCUCCUAACCCCCUUCUUAAUUCUCUUCUUCUCCUCGCCUCAUGUCUUUCUAACAGAACUUCAACGCUUAAAAUUUGUUAUAACUUUCUUUGAACUUUCAAGGCCUAUUUAUACUAAUUCUAAAUUGGAUUAGUCAUCUGUAAAUCUCAUCUUAAUUUGUUAGCUCCUACUUGGUGCCUUACACGUAUAGGUUUAACAUCUUCUCUAAACAUCUUUAACUUUAAUUCAACAUGUAAGAAGCUUAUUAAUUUGAUUUAAUGAAGCUCCCUUUCCUUGUAUGGCUUUCCUCGCUUAGCUCAAAGUGCAUUACUAAACGUCCCUUCUCGCGUUAACUUGACUUAGCACAACUCCUAGCUUUACUUCGCAUAAUUUCCUUCCUUGCAUCGCCUAUGCUGCUUCUUCAGAAUGUGUCACUCUUAUACUUUGUCAUUUUAACUUGUUUCACCUUAGAACGUGUAGUUCUUAUACUUAAUUAGCUUCCUUCUUACAACCUCCCUACUUUAAAACACGGAUUUCACACCUAGCAUUAGCAUAAUUUAUUUGGUAAUGGUAAUAUUGUUCUCAGGUCAAAUAAUGCUAAGAGAUUUUAAUAUAAUUAGAAGCAUGGCAAUAUGUGAGUAUCAACAUCAACCCCAACGCUACCAAUUGAAGGAGACCUUGGAUCAAACCAUGUUCCAUCGAAAUGAAGAUGCUCUGAAGAAUGCAAAUAAUAUAGGGGCUGAGUCUAAGUUUAAGUCUUCAUGACUUUUACGUCGAAAUUGUGGUUUUCAUAGGUAAACUGAUACGUUACACCCAUCAAUAUAGCCAUAGGAACCAUAAUCACUUGAAAGAUUAUAGCUACUGUGAGAAUAACCAUAAUUACUAACUGUAAUAGACAUAUUGUCGAUGUCCAUAUUAACUAUUCAAACUCAUCUCCUCCAUACUCAAAACUAGUGAGUUAGCAUCAACUUGAGCAUCAUCAUGCAUGGACCUUCUAUGAAUUAUUCCUCCAAUUUUUGGUCCACCGGUUCGAUGGCUGUGGUCAGUGUCUUGUGUGGUAUGCAUGAAUUGAGAUUCUCCGGUGAAUGGGGUAAGUUCUUUGUAUUGCUAAACAUCCUUCCGUAUUGUGUCGUGCUUGAGCCUCCAUCUUCUCUAUCCUUACUUUAACUACCAUCAUGAUCACCAUCAUCGUCACCUUCAUUUUGUUGACCAUUACUUUGUGGAUCUUGGUCUAAUUGUUGCUUUAAUUUAAAGUAUUUGUGUGAUAGUAUGCAACACGCAUGUGUCGCUCAAAAGAAUCAACAUCACCAGUUGAAUUACUAUUUAUUACCUCCUCAUCAAUGCGUAAAUCUUUUGCAAAACUAGCAACAUGUGGAUCUAGAUAUCAUAACUUGAAGCAUCAUAGAGAUACACAUACCUAACCAAUAUAUAUAGCAGAUCAUUUUUUUGAACUGAUUUUCUUGAAAAUAAAAUUUUGAAUAGUACAUUAAUCUAAAAAUUCAUUAUAAAUAUUUUGGAAUAGAUGAAAAUUUAAUAGGUCGUUUUUCAAAUUAUUUGUUAUUAUUAUUAUUUAUUUCUUUAUUUAUUUUGGGAUGAUGUGAAAAAAAAAAGGUUUCAAUUAGCAUUAAGGUUAAUAUACUUUAUUUACUAUAAAAUUAAUUUAAUGAAAGUAAAUCUUAGACUAAAAAUUGAGAGAAUAAUUUGAUAUAUGUUGAUUCAUGAAAAGAUUUAAUUGGUAAGUUGAGAUGGAAAUUUUGAUCAAUUAAGAAAAUGGAAGUCACAAAAUAUCCACAAACUAUACCUGAAAUAUGUCUACAAAAUUUCACCAUAUAUCAACAUCUAUUGGAACUCAUCCUGGUAAUAUCCAUGAAAAGAUGUCAACAAUACUUUGGAUCUUUCUCAAUUUUUCGAGAAAAAAUAUUGGAUACCUUCAUUUGAAGAUAUAUCCCAGGUAUAUCACCAUUUCUUUAACCUUUGAUUAUAUAUACACGCAUCAUUACAUAUAAACAUUCAAAAGGAUAUCUUCAUUCCUUAUUGCUUUGUUUCUACUCCCAAUAGGAAGAGAAUCAUCAGGUAGAAAAUUGAAGUAAAUCAAAUUGUUGCCUCAAAAAAUGAACUGUACUAGAAAGCAAAAGAUAAGAAAGGUUUGUGGCAAACAUAAUACGGAGUAUAGGGGAAAAUUGUUGAUGUUAAUAAUGGUAGUAAAGUAAAAACUAGACAACAUAUUCCACAAAAGCAGGCAGUAUAAGAAGAAUCUUGACAGUAAGCUCAUUCAAAGUAUCCGAAUAUUCUUAGAUUUUGGUCAAUCACCAAACAAAUAACACGAAAAUUUCAACUAUGCUGGUUGAUGAAGUUACAGGAUCUGAGCUGCGGUAUUCAACUUUUCAGCCAAGCUCAACUGUGUCCGGGUAAUACUUGACAAAUACAGCAACAGCAAAUGGUCCUAUGAAAGGGUGAAAAUAAGGGAUAAAUUAAUCAAACAGUCCCAUGGUUUUCAUUUUAAGGUUCAGAUUUCCUUGGAUUAACCAUAAAUCAGGAUCAACUUCAAAUAGUUUACGCCGAGUGCGUUGUUUCUAGCUUUUUAAAAAACGGGAUUGUUUCCUCAUAAACAGCCAAAAACAAAACCAUGUUUUUUUAAACACAGCUUGCUUUGGUUUUCAAAAGUUAAACUUGGAUUUUGAAAAUACUCCUAAAUAUAGAUGGCCAAACAAAGAAAUCAAUUAGGGUAAGGAAUGUUUGUAAGCUUAGGUGGCUAUGAAACAGGUGUUGAUAUUUAAUUCACAUCACAGCCUCUACAGCUCUACUUAUAGCAUCAUAAUAUACAAGGUAUAACAAAAUAAGCUUACCUGCACGUUGUCAUUCAUCAGCUUAUCAAAAGCAGCUGGCGACAGUUUUGGAAGAGAUGCUACAGUGUCAGCUAGAAAUCUCCCUAUCGUGUUGUCAGCCUCAACGUGCCCUUCCUGAGAGAGUAAUAACAUAAGCAAAGAAAAGACAAUUCAUAACAAAAUUGGAGACUCGGAUGCUAGUCUUAUUGUUUUUUAUGAGAAACAUUUCAUUUUUCAUAGAACCCCAGAAGCCAAUAGUCAAUUGGAGACCCACACAACUCACCACAACGUUAUCAACAUAUUUAUAAAUGUCGUCGAUUAAGGCAAGCAAUCUCUCCAUUGAAGCUUCCAUUCCUUCCAAAUCAUUUGGCAGUUUAUCAAUAGAAGUUGUCUUCAGAAUAUCAACUGCCAUCACAAAUUGCAUUAGUACUGGAGCUUUGCAGGAAUAUACAAAAACUGACUUGAAAAGAGUUUUGAAAUGGCUUGGACAGGCUUAAGAAACAAACACAAGCUAAGUUCACAAAAACAAUAAUGAUGCAUAUCCGUCACUAUACAUUAGCAACUAGAAUACAGAUUAAGAUAAGAAUUUUCCAUGCUAAGUUCCACCAGCAAAGCUAAAAAAAUAGAAAUGUUAAAAGUUGAUUCAUACCAAGAUAAUGCUAUUUUCCCAUAAGCGGGGAAUAUUCAAUACAGUUUAAGACCAACUAUUUCAUGCAGCUGCUCAAUGAGGCAACUUUACAUCGACUCACCUAAAACUUUGAGUAUGCAUAAAUGUCGAUAAAAAGAGGUUGAAAUAAGUAUCUAUGAGAUGAGAUUGCAGCUUUAACAAUUCAAGAAUGAAAGUAAAACAUAAGCAUUGAUUAAAUCCAUACAUCCAAGUCUCUCAGCUUCGACCAUUCGAAGAUCCAAAGGAAUUUCUUGAAACUGAGCAGCAAGCUGUCUAUCUCCCAGGGACAAAUUGACAGAGAUAUAUGCUUUUAUCGUCCCUUCACCAUUCUUAAACCCAGUAUCAACAGUAAGGUGAAUAGGGUUUGCAACUUCUCUUGAAUAAAAUUCGUGUAUCAAUGCACUGCCACCCGUUACUCCCGUACCAGUGGAGUACCUGUCAGUAUUCAUCAUGUAUAAGACACUCUAAUAUGUCUAUCACAUAAGCUGUUGAAGAGGAUUUAAUAUCACAAGAACAUUGGAUGGACUAUGUAGCAACUUUACGAGCAAAAAAUCAAUUUCAAAUCAUCAACCAGGUGUAAUAUAGAUGAGAUGAAACUAAACAAUAAAGGACUUUGAGAUCUUUAUAUUGGCAUUAAAAAAAAUAACAAACAAAAAAAAAAAAGUUACCAGCCAAAUUCCUCCUAGUGAGAAAAAAAAUUAAUUUGGGAAGGUAAGAAAACUAGAGGCCAAUGGCCAAAACCAAAGCAGCAACAAGCAGUAGUUGCAAAAACAAGCUUUGGAAAUGAGAAAAGGCACUUUAACUGUAGUUGAUAAAGAUGAGUAGAAUAAGAACUCAAGGCCCGUUCAUUUGUUGGAUAAUAUUGUUUUUUCUCGUGUUGGGCUCUGGUAAUUAGUCAUUCUUUGUAACUCUGAAAUUUUUGGUCCUCUUAAUGAUAGCCAACUUCUUAUCCUAAAAAUAAACUUAAGCUGACAAACAAAGUAAAGAAGGAUCGGCUUUACCAUCCAACGAUAACUUCCUUUGGAUUAACUUUUUGAUGUGAACUUAACAUAUUGUGAUGAUAGUCAAUAUCCAGCGCAACCUGUUCAGAUAAAAAGAACGAAAAUUGGGUAUGAAAGAGUGGAAUUGUGAAUUUAGAAUACACAAAUUUAUUGCAAGUUUGUAGAACAAAUGAUAAUCAUCACUAGCAAGUCGAACAUAAUAUAUCAUUCAAAUUCAAUAAAACAAAUAAUGUACAACAACCGAAUUUUUAAAUAUUCACAUUCCCUCGAAUAAGUCAAAUUGCAUAAAUCGUUAAGAAAUUUAGACAAAGUACAAUAUAAUCGAAGAAACCAAUUUGAAAUAAAGAAGAGAAAGAAGGCAGGGAACCCUAAUUUCUCCUACAGAAGAGAGUAAGAAAUCAAUCGUCAGAAACUAGGGCUUCAAUUACGACUAAAAUAAAAAACGAAUAACGCCAAAAACAAGUGACUGCCGAAACAAUUACUCGAAGGAAACACAAGAGAUAAGUUGAAUGGAGAGUAGGGAGGAUUACCUGAUCCGAGAACUCGUUAUGGGGAACAGCAUAAGAGUUACGAAUAUCAACAGUUCCAUCAGGUAAAACCGAGCCAAGAAGAGUACCAAUGACUCGAUCGGCCUGGUCGGGGCGCCUGACAUAGCAAUCACAAAUGUUGAAGAUAACCAAAGGAUGAACCUUGGCAGAUAAAGUGUUAGAAGAGUGUGAAAAUUGCAAAACUGUGGUCUCGGUCGUUGCCAUUGGUUGAAGCUUGAUUUUAGCUAGCUCCGUGAAAAUGGAUUGCAGAGAGAAACGAUGAAGGAGCAGAAGCGGAUGCUAGGGUUUGUGUUUUGCCUCCAAUUUUAGGAAGAAGACACGUUUAACAAUUGGGUCACUAAAUCAGUAAAUCUAAUCUAUUGGGCCUAUUGGAAUUACCCAUUUCAUUCAACUAUGUGUGUUUUCUAAUAUAAUGUAAAUUCUUAGACAUUACUUCAACAAGCCCGUCUAGCUCAGUUGGUAGAGCGCAAGGCUCUUAACCUUGUGGUCGUGGGUUCGAGCCCCACGGUGGGCGUUGUUUUUUUUUUUCCUUUCCUUUCUUUUUUUUGUCCAAUAUUAAAUUCAAAAUACAAGGCUUAAAUUUUGAACUAAAUAUGGAUUAAAACCAAAAAUAAAUAACAAUAACAAUAAUUUUAGACGAUUUAAACUCCUCAUUAUUUAAGUAAUUUUAUUUGGCGUUGAUUUCUUCGAAACUAAUUUGUUUGGCGUUAAUCAUUAGCUACAAAGUUCUCAAUUGGCAAUAUUACCCUUAAAUUACGUUGCCAUUUUAAUAUGCUAAUCUAGGUCCUUCUCUUUUUUUAAAUACUAUCACUAUCGAGUUAGUUCAAUUUAAAUCUUUAUAUCUUUAAUAAAUAUUAAUUUUAAUCAAUUUAAUGUAAAUGUAAAAUUCUUUUUAUCUAUAGCACUUUUUAUUUUAAAUUGUGAAAUUUAUUCACUUAUUUACUUUCUAAAUUAUGAUUAUUUUCUAAUUUUUAGCCAGAGAUAUUAAGGUUAGACAAAUAAAAUUAAACGAGUUGAAAUAUAACACACCACUAUCAUUAUGUUAAAUUCAUUUUAACUUAGUUAAUUAGUUUUAUAAUAAUUGCAUCAAGAAUGUUUUAUCAAUUUAUUAUUAGGGAUUUUGGUGCAUUUAUUCCUGCCAUCUGUUGUGGAAGUUUUUCCUUUCCCUUUUAAUUUGAUCUUUGAAAUUUACUCCAAAUAAUAUAUAAAUUUGAAUAAGUAUACUGUUUUAUAAUUAUUUUAAAAAUUAAUAUUUUGUUAUUAUUAUUUUCAUCUAAUUGAAAAACCAUCAUUUAAAGUAUAUACAUAAACAAUUUAUACAUACAAGUUGUCUUUGUCAAUUUAUGAGAAUGUUGUUGUAAACAGUCUCAUUAGGUUUUUAUACCUUAACUUGUUAUUUAUUGUGAACUUCCAUGUUUUUAAUGUUUUGGGUAUUUUUAUAAAAAAAAAAAAAGAAAAAUCCAAAGAUUAGAAUAAAGUUUUAAAAGUUGAUCGGAUAUGAAAUUUGAUUCAAAGUGGAAGAUAUUUUGUAUAGAUUUUUGUUAAAUUACAAAAUUUGAUAUCUACAUCCAAUUAACUAUUUUAUUUUUGAAAAAAAGUAAUUUAUUUUCAUAGUAAACCAAUAAUUUUAUAUUUCAACCAAAAGUAAAAUUUAGAGUUGUUUUAAUUUGGUGUGAAUAAAGUUGAAUGAAUCAGUAAUUUAAGUAUGAAUUAAAUUAGAUUAAUAAAUACAAAUGUUGAAUAAAAGAAAAGGCAAAACUUUAAAAUGUGAUUAUACAACCAAUAUAAAGAUUUUACAUUCCUUUCUAUGAUAAAAACAAUUAAUUUAAUCUGAUGUAUUUUUGGGGGAUGGGAUGCAGAGCUAAUUAUAUAUAUAAAUAAAAAUAAAAAUUUAGAACCAAAGUCAACAUUUGUGUGUUGACUGGGUCAACCCGAGUCGUUCUAAAUCUUCAUCCGGGUCCUUCGAUCUGACCCGAAAACACCAUGUAAAUCUCCAAGAAACGUCUUAGCAGCGUCUAAACUCGGAAAAUAAGUUGGUUCCAGAAAUAUCUGACUCAAUGAAUCAUCCGAGUUCGAACUCACCACAACUCG
rnacentral:lncRNA from 1 species